AGUCACAAAGUUGAGGCAUAUAUUUAUCUCUUUUUCCUUGAAAAUAAAAGAAGUUGUCAACAUUAUCUAGUUCAUUCUUUGCAGAAUUGAAUUGGCAUUUUGAGCAAUAUUUGAGAUUGUUUUUACCAAAAACAAUAUUUGAGUUGAAGUUAGAAUUUUUUUCGGUGAAUAUUGAAUCCAAACUGUUUUACCCUUCGUCCUAUUCUCUUUAACUUUUCCUUAGAUGUUAUAUUGUAGAAGGAACUAUUGCUUGUUUUGGACUUUGGUUUUGUUUACGAUUAUUUAGAUAUGAUUAUUAAUUAGAUAGUUAAAUUUAAAUUUGAUUAGUUUCAUUAGAAAAAAGGUAGAUAUUUGCCAAAAAUAAGACAAACGACUUGAGUACAAAACUCCAAAAAACUUUAUUAAAAUGGGCACUACUGUCCAUACUUGACAUUAUUUGGUUUUAUUCAAAUAUGAUGCCAAGUUGCCAACCCCAUGGGGUAAUGCUUUGCAUGAACAAGACUAAACAAAAUGAGAAAAGAAAAAGUGGAUACAAUACAGCACCCACAUCCACCCCCUGUUUAACUUUAUCUAUGACACAUAAUUUCCUUCUGGGUGAUUUGGCGUACAACAAGCAAAUAAAUAUAGGAUACAACUGAUAACUAAGCCGGGAGCCCAAAACUUCUACAGCAAGCAAAACUCUUCCACAGCAAAUCUUGAAGCACUCUCUACUUGUUGGAAAAUAAUAAGACUUCACAAAUACCUGCAAGGAAGACUGGAUACAAAAUAAAACAGAAAUGUCAAGGAUGAUCAUAUACACAUUCCGACAUAUUGCUCAACCGUGGGGCGGGAGGGGGGGGAUAAUGGUAACUAAACCAAAGAGUUUAUAAGGCUCUUUGGACCAUCAUUUGCUCUCAGUGACUAGAUUAGCUAGAAAUUAGAAUCAGGUCCAGCAGAGUAUGGACAAAUUGUAAAUAUCUGAACUUGAUACUUAAAUUUGAGCAUCAGAUGCAUAAUUUGACACAUCAAUAUUCUUUUUUUGGGAAGAAAUCACUUAGUGUUUAGUCUUUGCAGGGAAUUGAAUCUAAGACCUUAUGGCGCUCAAUCCACUUCAUAGACCAUUAGGCCACACCCUUGGGUACAACUCAACAAUAUUCUACAUAAAACCUAAUUCAAAUUGCAAGCACAGGAGAAAAAAAAGAUCUAAACGAGAAAAAAGAUUAUUUCGUUACUUACAGAAAACAACUUAUGCAGAACAGCGGGCAGGAUUUAACUAGUGCCAGUACAUACAUACUCAUGUUGCGUCACAGAAAAGCAAUUGCAAGAUGGAAGAGCUUUACCUUAUGCCAUCAGGAGGAUUGAACCACAAAAAAUAUUCUACGGAAACAGAGGUAGGCAACCGAGUCCCAAGUUCUCUGGAAUUCCCAUCAUUAAGUUAAGAUUUUGUAAGGCUUGACCAGAAGCUCCCUUAACAAGAUUAUCAAUCUACAAAAAGGCAAUUGGGAGUUCAAAUUUAAUAACCAACUCCUAAUCUAACCAAAUAUCAGAUGCAGUGUAUAGAAAAAUGCUACAAAACUUACAACAGAUAUUAUUAUUGCUCUCCCAGUAAUCCGGUCUGGAAAUACAUUCAUGAGGCAAUAAUUUGAUCCUCUAACAUGUCGAGUAUGGGGAACUUCUUUGUUCUUCAGCAAUACCACAAAUUCUUCAUGCUGGAGAAGGUGAAAUACACACAUAUAUCAAUCAUCCUAAAGAGAAACAUAAGCAUUUUACUUAUGCAUAUGCAGAUAGAAUGAUAUAUCAUAACUACUUUUUGGACUCUAGAAAUGACAGGAUAACUGCUCUACUCGCACAAAGAUAUAUAUCUCAAACUCUUAUGUGGGUGGGAUGAAAUGUAAUGUACAACAAGUCAACAACAUCCUAAUCCCAGUUACAACUACAAACGGUAUCUAAGAAUCACAAAGAGUAGAAUAAAGCCUUCUAUAGAAAAUGAGAACUCUUUCAAAUUUGAAAAGGAAAAAAAAAAUUGGGAUGUCAAUCGUAAGCAACCUCAGAAUACAUUGAAAACAGAAUCAAUUGAGGAAUAUACUAACAGGAGAAAUGGAGUUCUAUUGGUCAAGGUGCAGAAAGAAAAAUGGUAAUGAAAUCCAUGAAUAAAAUGCUGCUCUGGUAAUGCGGCAGAAAGUAUAUACCUCAUAGUAGUUACCAAGGUGAUCUUUCAAAUCCUGAGUUGUCACUCCUGGAGCCAUUUCCACAUAAAUAGUCGAUUGCAUACCACGGCUCUGUAGCACAAAAAGAACAGAUAAAAAAACAUCCUAAGAGAAUGACCUGCUGAGCAGGGCAGCUAGACAAACUAGAACUGGGUUCAGCUAUUACCAUUGGCAUAAGAUGUGGAGUGAAGCUGACAGUAACUUUUGAAUUUGCAGCUUCUGAUAAGCCUUGUUCAAUCUCUGGCACUGUAAAUAAAAUUAGAACUCUCACUAGUAAGAUUACACUUGAUAAGAAAUUCUGAAGCAAAACUCAGGUGAACGGAAAUUUUGUCAGUAUGAACUACCCGUUUCGCUAGCUUCUGAAAACUUGAGGUACAUUACAUGAUAAAAACAGGCACAUGGAAGAGAUAAACAAAUGAACUUCAUGCAGAACCAAAGUCACUCAACUGGUACCAUUAAGUUAAAAGCUUUUGGGUUUCUCUGACAUAAGAUUAAUUCUAAACUAAGGUCAAUUACAAAAUAGAUAACCAUAUUCAUCAAAUAAUGAGUAUUGUUAUAUGAUCCUAGUGUAUUGGCUUAAUUAUAGUCUUACAUUUUACAGCAAAAUACUAUUUCUACCCUUCUAAGAAGGAAUCAUGUUAUUGCUAUUUGAAAAGGCAGAUAAAUUUUGCCUUUAUUUUUUUUAAUGAAUAGACUUGUAAUAUUUUGAUGUUUAACUUCUUAAAAUAUUUUUUAUCCAUUUCUGAAUUGGUUCAACCUACAGCUUGGUCCGAUAGAGUAUCAUGUUAAGGUGAGAUGAAUUGUCAAUUUUUGAUACUCCCUAUGUCCCAAUUUACGUGCCUUACUUUGCUUUUUGGUCUGUCCCAAAAAGAGUCCCGUUGUAUAUUUACUAUUUAGUAAGUUUUUCAAUUCCAACAUUCUACCUAGCAAGUUUAAGACCAUAAAAUUUAAAGUACUACACACAUCUUUUAUUUAAGACCACAAGGUUCAAAAGUCACCCUUUAUUUCUAACUUCGUGCUCAGUCAAACUAAGACACUAAAAUUAAGACGGAGGGAGUAAUUCUAAUUAGCUCUUAAAUUUGUAAAUUUUUCCAUUAAAAAAAUUAAGAAACAAUAACUUAGACAAUUUGGAUUAACAAAUAAAGCUUCAUUAUUUGCACAGCACAGCUAAAAUGGAUUACUGACCAUGUCGAUGUCUGGUUAUACCAUAAGAAUGUAUUCCUUCAGCUAUUUCAGUGUAUAAAUUUGCUUCCUUUGCACCACGACCUGCAAGAUAAAGUUUGAGAAGCCGGUUACUACUGCUAAAGUACUACCAGUGGCAGUCAUGACUAGGAAAGGGUACAGAAAAGUACAAAACCUGCUCCACUGACACCAGAUUUUGAGUCAAUAAUUAUGUUUCUUACUUCAAUGAGGUUGGACUGCAAAAAUAAAGAAAGAAUCAUCCAAGAGUGAGCCAUGGACAAAACACAAGAAAGGAAAAACUAAAUACAUUAGACUGAUACAGAUGUUUGAGUUCUCAACCAAAAGGGAACGUCUUAAACACAAAUUGCUCCUCCAGUGUAUGAGCACUAUAGCAUUUGUGCAUCAAACACCUUAGGCUGACGGCAAGCAAAGAAAAUCAUGCCUCAAAAUUAAAAAACACAAUUUUCAGUCAUAUUUUAUAAAAUGAGCUGGCAUAUGGGAUAGCCAUUUUUCUGAGCAAAAAAAAAUUGCAUCCCUAAGCUUACCGAGGAAUCUCUUGCUAAUUCAGAAUCAAGACUGACACAAGGAAAACCAUUUGUUUCAAGAAAGAGGGAUCAUAAGAUUUUCAGAACAUUGUAGCAGAAACCCAUGACUUCAGAUAUAAUUUGUGAUUGGAUCAACUUCAGAUAUUAGAAACCGGAAGAAAAAGAAAACCUCUAGUCAAAGACACUUUCAAAGUCACAAUACAGGCCGUUGAGUUCAACUACAUUAGAACCUUAGAAUUUAGCCAGAUACUUGUUCAAUUGGAAUAUGUUUCCACUAAAUUAUAUAUAAAAAAAAAAGGUGCUUGCCUAGGAUGUCUGAAACUAGCUUUUGAUUAAAAAUCAGCUGAAUAUUCAUUGUAGACAGGAUAGUUUAAAGGUUAAAAGGGGACAGAUAAAACCAUGAGAAGCUGGUCAAAUGAAAGGUUAUUUUGAGAAGAUUUUUUCUUCUUAUGAAGGGAUGAGUCAUUUAAAAUUCAGAUUUCCAAUAAAGGAGGCCUAUAGGUAGAUCCUUCCAUUUUCAAGUAAUCUUGACAAACUCACAAUGCAUGCAAUAAAAGAUAUGCUUGUUUUUCAACUUAGACGCAAACCUUUAUCAAGGGUAUAAGAGGAAGUUGAACAGAUGUUGGAUAACAGCCAGGAUUUGCAACUAGACGUGCACUUUGAAUUUCUCUCCUUGAAAUCUCAGUCAAGCCAUAGACUGCUUCUUUCUGCAUCAGUUGAAAAAAUUCAAUAUGGUGAGCUUACAUUGGCUACAAAGAGAUAUAAUAGGAAUACUAAAGGAAAAAUUCUCUCAUUUUCUCAUAUGAGACUCCAAAUUUUCUGGUUAUGACUCUUGGAUGUACACCUUCACAUAGCAUUUAUAUUCAUAUAUAUAUAUAUUUAUUUAUUUAUUUAUUCGUUCAAUGGGUGAUAUAACAUUAUAUAUAUGCAUCAAACAUGAAGUUCUUUUUUUCUUUUUCAUUUUUCUGGAAGAAUUAAGGAGGGAGAAAAGAAAUCAACUACUCUACCUGUAAAGCCGUUGCUUUGUGAGGCUGGCCAUACCAUUCCUCGUACUCAGCAAUAUCUUGCAAUCUGAAGUCCUACAUGACCAUCAUGAUGACAGCAAAUAUAGAAAAUGUAUGAGAUGCAGAGUAAAGAAACUAUUUUAAGUACAGUGGAAGUAUAAAGUCUGAACUGAAUGCCUACCGCAGAAAGAUCGACAAUUUUUAGAUUUGUUGGGAGACUUUUGAUAAUUUCCUGCACAGGGCAAGUAAUUAACAAAAAUAAAAACAUUAAUGCAAGGCUCCGAAUCUCCUUUAGAAAUUAUGAUAGACAAAGUGAAACCACUAUUCCUUCAAUAAUAUGCUGAUUGAUUUUGGGAAAUCCAAGAUGUGGAAUAGCUACAAACCUGAGUUGUACCAUGUGGUAAACAACAAAAAACGGCAUCCACAGCAGAGAAAUCUGCAUCUUUAACAGCGACUAGAUUUGGUAGAUCCUGUAUGGGAAUAAUAAAAUUAAUACUUCACGAGCUAAAUUGAAGUGCACAAUCCUUUCCCUCAGAAUGAAAAGAGCAGGAUUGAAAAUGAUCUUACAACAUUCUAAUAAAAGAGUUAGAUAUAGAAGAGACUCAAUCUCCUUCAUGAUACUUUCAUUUUGUCAGAAAGUCGAGCAAAAAAUAAAGAUAGCAAAACAUAUCCACAAGUAUUUAUCAAAUAAUAUCAUACUUUGGAAUCCUAUAUCAAACCAAUUCAAAAUUAAAGUCCAACAAGAAAGAAUACAAUCGUGCAAAUAUGAAGAUACAUACUUGUGUGACCAGGUGAGGGAAAACAGAUUCGAUUGAUUGGCCAGCUUUCCUGUCAGCCGUCAUCAAAGUAAUCUGAAAAUGUGGAUGAUUUCGCAGGAGUCUAAUAAUCUGCAACAAAUUUUAUACUUGUCAAGUGAUAAUAUAGAACCAAGGGAUGCGCAUGAUAUGGCUAACAAUAUGUGAAAACAAGAACACGAAGCAAAAUUACCCGAAAUGACAUGAUAUCACACUGCAGAAACAGAAGAUUAACUUAAUCGGAGAAAGGGUACAGAAAAGGGCCAUUAACGUUCUAGCCACAUUUAUUUUUUUAGCCAUAAUUAAAAUUAUAAUGGGAGGAAAUACUAUUCUCUUAUUCAUCUUCCAGAAUUUUUCAUCUCAUAUACAACGCAUAACUUCCAAUGCUGAAAAUAUCCUUAUUGAGUCAUGAAUUAGAAUAAUAAGUAUAUCCUUCCACUAUGUAAAAUCUCAAAAAAACGAUUUGACUAUCCAGACAAAUGUUUAGAAGAAAUGGAAGAUUCAUUUUCCAUAUUAGGAAGUAUUCAAACUCUCUUGUUUGUUUUAACAGAACACAACAAUCAGUAAUGUAGUAGCAAAGGUUAUUUCCAGUUGUACCUUAACCACAAACCUCUCAUGGGCCAAGUUCAGAACAACUGCAUCUGCAGAGUCUCAAACAAUGAUCCAGGUUCAUCACUAUUACCAAAAAUUGAAGUUUGUUGUUUAUUAAUAUUAUUUUUAUUUUUUGGGUUUACAUCUACACAUGUUUGUUGAGCUUAGUUUUAAAAGUAUUAGAGCAACUUUUUGAAUGCAUCUUAAAUUUGUUCUCAGAAGAAACAAUGAACCACUCGAAUUUUUAUUUUUAUUUUUUAAAAAUGCAACUAAAAUGAAACAAUGAAACGCUCCAAAAACUAAUUUUUAGUGCAAGAGCAUUAGACAUUUAUUAGACAUCAUCUGUCAAACAUAAUAACUGGAUUGCUGUCAAAAGAGUAUAACUUUAAAAUCUUAUUUUUAGGCUUAUUCUUUUCAAAGUUCACAGAACCAAAAGCAAAUCUUAUUUUAUUUUUAAAAAAAAAACAGAAAUUGAAUGUAAAGCUAAAGCUAAAGUGCGCCACUAGCAUCGACAAAGGGCUCGUACUCACCUCUGAACCAGUGUAGCCACUAGCACCUAGCACACCAAUACGCAAUUUUUCCAAUUUGUUAGCUUUACCAUCCGCAAACUGCAAGCUUUGCGCUGGUGAUGAUGACGCCAAGGAAGUAAUUCUAAUUCUGAGCUUACCAGCCUUAGAAACCUUCAGUUCGUCCUACAAAUCACUUGUCUAAUCAGAAAGAAAAAUUGUACGGUACAUUUCAUUUGAACUAUCUAAAUAUAGAUAUAGAGAAUUCAUAAAGCCUAAUUUUGGGUAAAAUAAUACAAAAGCGGGAUUCAAAAUUGAGACUUUGGAAUACAUACCUGGUACUUCCAAAGGCAACCUCCAUUGAAGAGGUUAGAACUGAGCGCAGCCAAAGAAGCCAUUGGAGAUUCAGAGUUUGAAGUGUGAAUUUUGCAAAAUGAGAAAGAGAAGAGUAAAGGGUAUUUUAGUUCAAUAUGAAGAACAGAGCAGAAUGAUCCGAUGGAUAUAUGGUUUGACCCGACUCCACCUACUCCUAUUUUACGCAAUGAUUUAUUGAAGCAAAUUUGAAAUAAAUUAUUAAAAUAAGUUUAAAUUUAUACAUGCAAAGUUACCAAUUAAAUUAUUAAGCAUGUACAUCUAAAUUAUUAAGCAUGUACAUCUACGGUCUACGUCAAGAAUUGGGGCCUUAUUGGCAUACAAUAGAUGCCCACUUAUUAUUUUUAUUACUUUUUUGAUGGUGGUGUAGGUUUGUAUUGGAAUCGGCAAAUAAAUCAUGUGGUAAAUUUAUGUUGGUGAAUUAAGUAUAUAAUAAAUCAACAUAUCUUUUAACUUAGCUUCAGUUGGAAUUUACAUCCUCUAACUUUGAAUGUGCACAAGUAAACACUAAAAUUGAACAAAUAGACACAUUCGUCCUACGUGACGUUCUAUAGAUGUGGGUGUUUGUUUGUUCAAUUUUAUAUUAGUUUAAAAGUCUACAUGUGAACGCCCAUAAUUGAAAUGUAUAAAUGUCAACUUAAAAUCAAAUUAAAGGGCAUAUUUAUGUAUUAUGCCUUCAUUUUAUUGUUCAAGUUCCAAGUAGUGUUUGUUAAAGAGAGAAUCCACCUUGCACCACUUGGUGUAGUGGAAUGUGGAAAUAUUACAAUACAUAUGGAAAAAAAGAGCAAAAAAAACUUUCAUUAGUUGAAUGAACUAAGAAAACUUGAAACUCCCGAAAAUAUAAAGACAAGUAUUGUCUAGGAUGGAUGGAGGUCAUAAUAUUGGUUUUAAUUGUUGGGAAUAAGUACUUUUAUUUGUCAACCUUCUUUAAAAGAUUUAAAAAAAAAAAAAUGAAUUUGGUUUAUGGCAAUGAAAAAGCAAAAGUUCUAACCGCAGACUCAACCAUAAUUUCAGUGCUGUAAACAUAAUCAAUUGUGACAAAAUUGUGAUUGUACAACAACAUAUGCCUUUGUAGACGUUAUACUGGUAAAUUUACAGAAUAAAGAAUUACACAUUGCACAAAUACUUUCAAUUAAAGAUAAUACAAAAUCAUGGAUUCACUAUUUACAGAUUUCCAUGAUUUGUGUACAGUGUAUAUAAAGUACAAAGGGAUAUAUGAACAAACUGCUAGCCAAAAACUAACACCAUGUACAGAUGAUAACUUACUCUUCCUCCUUAAGUUGGUAAAAGAAUCUUCACCGAUCAAAGACGGUUAGAGGGGAAGAUGAUCCUCUGUUUGAAAUAUGUCCAUUUUCAUUCGUUCUUAGAGGGGAGGAUUGUGGCAUGAACUCAGACAAUCGGAGCCGUUCGUUAGUCAUUUUGUUCUGUUGAAGAAGGAACUUGUUAGUGACUUAGCGUCGCUAGUUUGAUACAUUCAGUGUUCUGAGGUUUACGAUCAAGCAAAAUGAUUGAAAAUAAUAUGGAUAUCUGUUACCUUAAAUUUGGCAUCUUGUAGUUCUCUUUCCAGUGAAGUCAAUCUGUUUUUGAGCUGCUCAAGUGCUUCUUCAGCUGCUGAGAUCCCCAUCUCAGAUGUUGGUUUUGUUAAUCCAGCAGCCUGCAGUAUAAAUUUCAAAUGAUAAAAAAACCGACGCCAAAGAACUAGAGACUACAACCAACAUUUCCUUUGAUAUUAUAAUAAAUAAAAAAUGAAUAGUAAAUAAAAAAUGAAAUUUCCUUACCUUUAGCACAGUAGUGCACAGACCAAGUAACUUCUGCGCCAAUUGCAAUCUUUCCUCUUCCUUUUCCUGUUGGACAAAUUCCCAACUAUUUAAUUCCUAGAGACACACAAAAGAAUUCUCCUCUUCCUAACAUAAUUCAUGUCCACAAGUCACAUUGUGGAAUUCCUCCUAGGCACAUAAAAUGAUUAACAACUAAAACAUACAAACCUUCAACUUGUUCUCCAGCGUUUGCUCCUUGUCAAAAUUAAUGUAGGGGCUUCUUCCAUUAGUUUGACGGAAGUGAGCCAGCUCUUCCCUAACUCGAGAAAGAAUUGAUUCAGUUUUCCGCAGCUUUACUAUAAGGUCAUCAUUCUGAUUUUUCAGUAAAUUGUUCUCUUCCUGUGACACAGACCCAUGGUGGAUUAGUGCUGUAGCGAAAAAUACCAACUAACACUUUUAAGAUGUCAAUCUUCAGUCUGGAAAGUCUGGUAAAAAGGUACCAACCUUAAUUUUAGCAUGAUGGUGGAUGCGCUGUUGAAGGUUUUGCUGACCAGACAACUUCUUUAUGUCUGCUUCAAGUUCGAUGACCUUCUUCUUAUGAUUCAUGUUCUCCAUCUGAGAAAAUUUCCGGUGUAUAAGUGAUUUUUUAAUACAGUAACAACCUGCCGAGGUGUAAUAGAAAAAAGAGUUACUAACAUCUCUUACCUUUAUCAUUUCAUUUUCUGUUGUAAGCAAGUGAUUCCGCUGGCGCAGUUUUUCAAGUGCAAUCUGUGCAACCACCAUCUCUGCUUGUUUUCUCUCAAUUUCCUCAAUCCAUCUAAUUAUCAAUAAAAAACAAAUGAGAAACGCAACAACAACAAGAUGACUCUCGAAAUCUAAUUGACAAUUAAUACCCUUUCCGCUCCUCUAUAAACUCAUUUAGUUGUUGCCUCAGCUUACAAAACUCGUCCUCCUGCAAGCAAGCAGUUACUAAUAUUAGAUAAGUCCAGACUAUGUUGGUUAUAUCAUUAUAUCCUUACUAAGUUUACCUUGACCUCAGCAUCAACAUUACGGACUCGAGCCAUCUCCAUCAACAUUUUUAUUUGAGGAUUAUCCAGCAGAUUCUGGUGGGGUAACCCACAUAAGCCAAACAAAAACAUACGUGAAAUUGUCAGGUUCUAGAGAACAUAAAAAAGGAAAUGGCCUUUGGUAUUAACAUUCCCUCCUAACAAAAAAUAUAGGUUUAUUUAAAUUACCGCAUAGUUAUUCAUGUCCAGUUUCACACCCAAUAGAUCGCGCAUUACAUCAUGGGUCAUGCUAUCAGCAACAGCUAAUUUUGAGUUCAACAUGAAUAUCUGCGAUGAGUGUAUGAUCACAAUUGAGUAGAGGAAAUUUUACAAAAAUAAGUCAUUGUUUUAGGAUGUGAAUUACCUCUUUUUGUCUACUAGCAGCUAGAGCCUCAAGUUCUUGGAUGCGAUGUCUUUCUGCACUAUGCUCCUCAUCCCUCUCAGACAUCAAUUGCUGAACCAAGCCUAUGCCAAUACAUUUGAAAGGGGAACCAGAACCCCUAGGCUUUGAAGAAUUUUUUUCCAAUUUGCUUGAUGAUAAAGCUGGAGCUUGGGUGGUGGCAUGGGGAUCCAUCUUCACUUUCUGUGCCAAUGCUUCUAAUGCCUUAAACUGUUUUGCAUUUUGAUAUUAGGUUAAACCCACAGAUUAGCAACCAACACCAACUCUAUCAAAAUCAAUAGAAGGAAUGAGAAAUCACCUUUUCCUUAUACUCGCUAGCCUGUGCCUCAGCAUGCAAAUUUAGUUCUGAUAUAUGAGCCUUGAAGUGGGCUAGCUGUUAAAGAAAAUGAAAUAAGUUAAUCUAACAAGUUAAUGAAAUUGAACGUCAACUGGCUGACUGAGCUUAAAGAACAAAAAAUUAUAGUGAAGAUACAGAGGACCAAACUCACUUCAGCAUCUCUAGAGAUGAUUUCUCCCUCAAGAAGUUGUAUGCGCUGACAAGCUUCUUGAAGACUCUUUCCUUUUUCCUCUUGAUGCCUGUAUACAUAGAUAUCAAAACAUUUAGAAACCUAAAUGAGUCCUAUUUUUGAGAUUUCAGGUUGCAUGGUAUAGUUGUCAGAAACCUUCUCAUGUCAGCAUCACUGCCUUUUACAUUGUUCAUGUGUUGCUUGAUGGCAUGAAGUUCCAGUUCCAGCUCCUCUCUUUGUAACCGCUGUCGCUCAGCCUCUCCUCUGACAAAUUCAACCUAUAAAGUGGGAAAUCAUGUUAUUAAAUGAUAAAUAAAUCGAUAAGUACAUUUAGCUUUGCAAGAAUGAGUACCUCAUUUUCUAGUACAUUCACUGUGCAUUCCAGUUCCUCAACAGACCUCUCUAACAAUUUAACCUCCUCUUCUUUCUCAACAGCCUGGAGUUUUGCUAUAUCGGCCACCUGACAUGAAUAGAAUAUUGUUGUAAGAAAAAGGGGAGUGAGAAAAAGAAAACAAAAAGAAGGAAAACAUUAGAGAUCAAUACUGAAGAAAGUAGUUUAAAACACAAUUCCACCUCUUUCGCUUCUAUGGCAAUUGCUUCAUUUUCCUCCGCAAGAGUUUGUGUUGUCUCUAGUUUCUUUUUCAACAUGAGAAUUUCUCCAUGGAGGUCUUCCUUCUCACUAGUAACACCACUGAGAUUUCUCUUCAAGCAUUCAAUUGAGUUGCUCAUUUCGCCAACGAUAUCACCAAAGUUGGUAAUUUCUAUCUCUAAGUUCUCACAGACUUCCCUUUUCUCUAACAAUUCCUCCUCGAUGGAACAUUUUUCUUCCAUGGUGUCCUUGGCACUGGCAGCCAGCUCCGAGUUUGUGUGUGAAAGCAAUUCUAUGUCCUUGCACUUUUGAGAGAUAUCUGACUCCAAAAUUGCUGUCUUACUUAUCUUUUCCUGCAACUGAACUUCAAGCGCUUGACCUUUGCAAACAGCUUCAUCAAGCUCAUUUUCCAAAGAAUUUAUAGAAGCCAUCAGAUCAUCAAUUUCAUCUUUUUGAUCCUUGUGGUUAGAUGCCGAUUCUUGUAACAAACUAAGGUCAAAUAGCAUUCCUUUGAUGAUGUCAUCCUUCCGUACUAACUCAGUUUGCAGGGAAGCACUUUGUAUUAAUAUCUCUUCAGCAGAAUUCUCCAAUGAUUCAAACUCUUCAAAAAACUUGGAUGCCCUUUCAAGUUCUUCAUGUAUGUUUUGUAACAUGGCAUCUAAUCCAGCACUUUUAUUUUGUAAAGCAUUAAGCGCUCUACUCCCAACGCUGUCUACUUUGAGCAUCAUAUCAAAAGUGUCAUUGUUACCCUUCUCACAAGAUGUGAGUUGGAUUCUCAAGAAAGUAUUCUCUGCUGCCAAAACAUUGAUUCUCUCGAUCUCUUCUUUCUUUACCUCCAACUCUGAGAAAAUUUGGCAACGUUCUCCUUUUAACUCUGCUAUUUCAUGCUGCAGUUCUUCAAUCACCUUUUUUAGACAAUUCAUUUUCUUAAUUUCUGCUUCUUUCAUUUCCAUAUCUUUCUGGAGUCUGCAUGAUGCUGCUUCCAGCAAGCAAGUUUCAUUCUGCAACAUCUGAUUUUGUUGGUCAAGGACAAAGAUGCGACUUGAAGAACUUUCAAGGGCUGAGUCCUUCUUUUGCAAUUCUUCAAGCAACUUCUCAUUUUUAGAGCUAAGUUCCUGGACCUGGGUUGUCAGAACAAUCUUUCCUUCCUUUAAUUCACCAAGUUCAUGCUUUAAUGUCUCAUUCAAACAAGAAGCUUCCAUCAGUGAGCACACAUCUUUCUCAAGAGCAUUUUUUCUGGAGUGAACUUUGGCAAUCAUGGAAUCCAUUACACUAAGUUCAGCCAACAAAUUCUGCUGCUUCCUUCCUGCUUCUGCAACUUCCUCUUGUAGAUUAGAAACAUCAACCUCCUUGUCAUGUAAGAUGGAUGCGGUUAAUGCAACAUCUAGAUUGUCAAAAAUUAUUUUUCUCUUCAAACCUUCGGCAACUUCAUAGAAGUGCUUAUUUUUUCUCUCCAACUCAGAUAUUAAUAUGGUCCUCUCUUCUAACUCAGAUGACAAAAUUAAUGACUCAAAGUCUUUUGCAGAAAACUCCAUAGUCAAACUAUCUUCCAGAGACUUCACGGCUUCCUCUUUUUCCUUCAGCACCCUUUCUUGAUCUACAAGAGAUGCCAAGACAGUUUUGUUGCUGAGAUCUAUCUCUUUCAUUAACUCAACAAGCUCAGAUCCCAUUUGCUCGGACCUUGCUAACAUUGACUCUUCCUGGAACUGCAAAUCAAAUAUUUUUUUCUCGAAAGAGCCAAGUUUGGAAGUAAGAUCCCCUGCAUCAGACUCUUUCCUUAAUACACGAUCAAAGUUGUUUUUAAUGUCGGCCAAUAAUUUCCCCUUCAGAGUUCUGCACAUUUCAAGCUCCUUCUGUGCUUUGAAGUUCUGCUCCUUCAACUUAGAUAUUAAUGAGUUUGAUUCACUUAGCCCAUGAUUGAGUAGCCCAUUUUCUACAUUCAAUCCGGUUGCAGCUUCUAAGAGAAUGCCCAUGUGACAAAGAUGCAAGACAGACAGAGCACAGUCCUUGACAAUAAUAUCAGACCAGAUCUCCUCAAGCCAUGACUUCAUGUACUUAGUUGAUGCAUGAAGUUGAGACUUUAUGAUAAGGACAUCAGAUGUUACAGACUUGAGCUCAUCUGUGGAAGUGGUUGCUGCCUGUGAAACUAUAUCCUCUAGCUCCAACACCAGCCUUUGCAUCAUUGCUAGAUCUGACUCAAACUCAUUUUCCAGUCUUUGGUAAUGCAUGUCCUUUAGAUCAUUAGCCAACUGCAAGCUUUGAUUUUCAUUAACAAGGAUGUCUCUCUUUUCAGUUAAGCUGAUCUCCUUCUUCUUACGCCUUUUGAUGUCAAGCUUUAAGGAUUCAUUUGCUAUCAUUAGCUCAUUUAUCAUGAUGUCUGCUUCUUUCAUGGUGUCUUGAACCUCUUCAAAUUUGGCUAGAAUGCAGGAAGCUUCAGUAGAUUUCUGGGCCGCCACUGCCUUAGCAUCACAAAGUUCAGCUUCAAGUAGCUGCAGACAAGAAUUUCGAGAGAGCAGAUCAGACUGAGACCGUGUUAUUGAUUCUAUCAUACUUAAUUUAGUGGUUAGGAACUUGUCCUUUAAAUUGAAUUCUAAUCUUAUAUUUUAGAACGCAUUAUUUAAUCCGUCAAGAUGAUUGUUCUCAAGGAUUAUAAAAUUGUAAUGAACAGUCAAAAAGAAGGAUUUCAGUAUUGAAAGUCAUGAGCAGUAAUAUAUGAUGUGUUUCUAGUGAUAUGGGCCUACCUUUUUUUGCUCAUACCAGGAGCUGGAGGACUCCAGCACAGCACCUUCAAUUGUUCGUAAUUUAUUGUCUACUAACUCCACUUUAACUACAAGUUCCUGUUCAAACUUAUCCAUAUAGGUCUGUAGAGAAGUUGCUGCAGCCAGAAAAUCUCCAAUGCUCUCUUUACUCUUUUGCUCAGAUGACCACAGGGCUUCUUUCUCAACAUGUAAUCUGGCCAUUUCAGCUUGCACUCCUUUUAAGCAAUCAAGAGCAGAUUCCAUUUCUUUCCUUAGUAGAAUAACUGUAGCAUCUAUGUUCUUAUCCUUCCAAUUUAUUUGAAAAGUAUCCUGCUUGCUAGCUGAUCCAAGCAUAUUAUUACUUUUGUCGAAGGAACAGUCUGGUUUUUCAGCUGUCCUAUCUUGAAGAAUAAAUGACUCUAGGUGCUGGCUGUGUUGUCUUGUCUCACUACCUGUCUGCAACAAUACGUUAAAGUUGGAUUACAUAAUAAUAAAAUCCAUCACGAAGAAUCUACCAUUCCACUUAAAAAACAGAUACUAUAAGAUAUGAGUUACUUUCAAACAUAACGGCACAUAACUUACCAAUGUUUCAAACUUGUCAUCACUAGAAAAAGAAGCAUGAGUUUCAUUGCUUAUAUCUUUUCCAUGACUUCCACUUCUUUCCACACACUCACUGAGGUGCGAACGUACUGUUGAAACACCUGCUUUCAGCUCUGUAAGUUUCUCAAUCGUUUUCAACAUAUCAUUUUCAUCCAGCUUUUGUCUUUGCUCCUCAAACAGCUGAAGUCUCAGAUCACUGCAUGUCUUUUCCAGAGUAUGUAGCUUCGUUCUCAGAGACUCAUUUUGAUUCUCUGCAGCGGCAACUACUGAAGCUUGAUCCCAGAGAAUAGCAUCCUUUUGUCUGCUUGUUUCUAGAGAUUCCAUAAGUUGCAUGUCCUUCUGGUUUAACGCAUCAACACAGUUAGAAUUCUGUUCCGACAACCAGUUAACUACCAAGAAAGCGACUGUUGCACUGCUUGACACCUUUCUGAGUUGAUCCUCCCCAUGCUUAAUCUUGUUCUCAAGUUCUGAGAUGACAUGUGCCUUUGAGCUUAACUGGGAUGUCAAAGAAAAUAGCUCAGCAUCUUUUUCAUGGCAAUCUAACUGGUGAGCCUCCGUCAUAACUAAAGCUGCCCCUCUAAGAGAUCUCAGCAUGGACUCCAUAUCAUUUCUUCUGUUGAGAGCAUUCUCCAGACUCUGGUUGAGCUCUUCAAUAAAUAACUCCUUUUCAACAAUGUAUUUUGUCAUUCUGCCAAAUUGUUCAGAUAUCCUGCUUCUCUUAUCUGGAAAUGUACUGGAAAUAAAAUCCAGUUGCUCACAGGCAUCUUUGAGAGCCUCAUGCCCCCCACAUACAAUAGCUUCAAUCUCGUUGUUUACCUGCUCCCAUUCUUCAGACAUAUUUAUUAACUCUUUUUCUUUGUCAUAUACACUUUCACCAAGUUUUAGAUUUUCUUCUGUCAUCAGAGAUAAUUUUGCCUCCAAAUUUUUAACUUCAGUUUCCAGCUCAGCUAACCUCUUUCUGCUCUCCAUCUCUUUCAAGCUGCUAUUUUCAACUUCCUGCUGAAGAAGGAGGAGUUCUUCCUGCAAGCAUACAAUCACUUCAGCAGUUUCUGCCUCAGCCUGCCUGCUUAUUUCAUCCAUCGCUUCCUCAUUUGACACAUGAAAUUCAGAGUCAUUUUGGUAACGCCGAUUCAACAUUUUGGCCUUCUCAAGGGAGUCAUGCAUCUUUUUAAGCUUUGCUUGCAAAGGAGAAUCAUCACUUUCCAAGAGCUUAGAUGAUGAGAGAUCUCUCGAUCCUUGAUGAAACAUUUUCUCCUUCAAGGAAGAGAUUUCAAGCUCCAGUUUCCGCACUACUUCAGCAUAACGACUGUUACUGUUUCUUAGAUCGUCUACCUCAGUGAUUGCUAAGAGAUGUUGGGAUUCAAGAGCUUCAAUAAUGGAUUUGGCUUCCCCAAGUUCUGCGUGAACAUCUUCACAUUUCUGGGUCACUAACAGAAGCUGUUCUUUUGAUGAGUCUCGGUCUUGCAUCAUGGAUUGAGCAUGUUGCUGCAAUUCAUUGUGAUGCAACCUUUCUUCUUGAAUUAUAACCUUCAGAAUGUCCAACUCAAGUUGCAAAUCCAUAAUUUCCUCUAUGUGCUCCAUCAUUUCUUCUUUCCUCGUAUCUUCCUUCUCAUUCUCAGCAGAAGUUUCUGAUUUGCCAUUAAGAGCCAGAGCUUCUGAUGUUGACUCCUGAAAAAUCUUUCACAUCAAGAACAUGAACAAAGUAGAGUUUUUGCAAACAAAAAACUAAACCGUACAAAGAAUAUUCGGUGGGAUUCUAUACAAGCAAUAUGAAUGGUCAAGAAUCAUGAGAAAAAAGUACAAACUCAGGCUGAUUAUGCUCUAAUAUCUUGUGUAUUUGUUUUGGCAACUUAUGUCAACAGCUUUAAUAACUGAAAAUUAGGUUACCCAAAAACUUUUGUGGUCUGAGCUAUGAGCUACUUCAACACAAGUUUUUUUUUUUUUUGAUAACCGAGAAAUCCGUCUGUGACCCGCCCUUUGGACCAAUCACAGCCUUCUAAACUCGGUGGAUAAUGAGCCCGCCUCUACCCUUCUCCACUUAAAUACCGGGCUUCGCUUUGCAUGGUGUGGGGCUUGAACCUGCGACCUAAGCCACAAAUCCUCCACCUUUUGCCACUCGAGCUAAGCCUUGGGGGGGCUCUUCAACACAAGUUUAUUCUGUUAUUUUGUGGCAAUACUUUGCACUAGACGAAUUGGGAAAUAUUCUUAUUUAAGAUACAUUACCAAAGUCCGGAAAAGCAUCAGUUAAAUUCAAAUACCCAAAGCAACUCCCUCAAUCAUGAUAAAGGUGUCGUGUUCUCCCUUAUCUUUCUUCCUCUUCUCUUAUUUUCAGUUAUAUAAUGACAAAAACAUGCUUGUUCAGAAGGAGAAUUACCUUUAUGACUUCAACCCCGCCUUCGCGAUCAUUGUCAGCAGAACUGAUGCUAUUUAAUGAACCUCGUAGUUCAUCUAUUUCCCUGAAGAGGAUUGAGAGCAAGUUAGAGGAAACUAAUAGUAGCAGCAGUUAUAAUUUCAAUAUGUUAAACGUCAAGAAAGUCUGUAUAACCACAGUUGAAAAGGGUCACUAACCUGCUGAGUUUUUCAUUUUUCUCUAAACAACAGUUUAGGUUAGUCUGGCAUUCCUCCAACUCAUAUAAAGUCUUUUUUAACUGAAACAUUAAAAUACAUAUGAGACCAAGUUUAUUCAAUUUCUUCAAGUUAAGGGGGGGUCACCAGAGACCAACCUCUAAAUGUAGUGUAGUUUGUUCGUCGCAAACAUGUUCAGGCUCCUGCACCAUGCAAAAGAUGCUUGAACAUAAGAAGGCUUGAAUUUGUAUCUUUAAAGCAGCUGAAAGAGGAAAGAACACACCGUACAAGCUGUUUUAAACAUUACCUGAGAUGGAAUAUUCAUGUCCAAAUGGAUGUGCUGCUUCAAGUUCCCAUCAAUAUUGUUAAGUAGCUGUACACAUAUAUUGUCUUGACAUCAUACUCUUAUACAAGUCAAAGAGCUAGAAAAGACAAAAGGCACAGAAUUUACCUGAUCCCGCAAGUUAGAAACCUCAUUCAACAGAAUUUCUCUCUCUCCUUCUUCAUAAAAAUCUUGAAAUCUACAAGCUCAGUAGAACGAAAAAUUGUUGAAGAAUAAAAAGUAAACGAGCUUCAAUAUUUAGGUUAUUGGAUAUGUAUGUACAACAUUCUACCUCCGCAGUUCUUCUAAAAGCCUAAUGUUUUCACAUGCAAAUCGAGUUACUUCUGGAUUUCUAUCAACCUUAGCAUGAAGCAGCUGGAUUUCUUCAGUAAGUGCACUGUUUUCCUCCAAUAAAUAACUAUCUGCUGGAAUUAGUCCAUUGACAAGUGACUCCAUCCUUUGAAUUCUCUCUUCUCUGAACUUUAGCAUCAUCUUGGUGCACCGAUUAUCUUCCUCCCUUUGACGAACCUAAGAAACAAACAUGCAGGAUAACCGUGUAUGGAAGUUAGUAUCUUAUUGAAAAUGUCAAACCUAAACAAAGAAAUGGGAUAGAAGGCAAGAAAGUGCGAAGAGGGUCACCAGACGGUUAAGCUGCUCAAUUUCAGCUUCAAGUUGUUUGAUAGAAGUUUCAGCCAUCUGCUCUCUCCUUAAAGAACCAGCUAGUGUGGUCUCUAGUGAUUUGAACUGAAAAAUAAAAAAAUAAAAGCAAGAGGAAUCAUUGCACAGCAGAGUAGAUAAGCAUUUGGAUGAAGAAAGUGAGAUCAGAUUCUUUAGCCAUGAAGAUGUAUGAAUGUAAGAACACCAGAUCUCCUAGAUGAAAAAAAGUGAAGUCUGAUUUUUACCCAUGAAGAUGCAAGAAUGUAAGAACACCAGAUAGAGAUGCAAUAAUCAGAGUGAACCAAGCUGGGGCAAGCAACAAAGCAGAGUCUGCUGGUGCUAAGAUACUAUGAGAUGUAACUGCGUAAUGAAGGUUUUGAAUAAAAUCAGAAAGAAGAAAAAAACAAAUAUUGUUCAGCAUAGUUCCUUUCUUCCUGUAUUCAGCAUACAAAUAUAGUUCUUUUCUUCCUGUUCUUAUACUUGUCAAUUAAUCUUAAUCGACUAGUCCGAAUCAGUUGGUGUGGUUAUAUGAAUUCUCUAGUCCAUUCUGCUUAAUUCGAGUACACUUCAUACUGACAUUGAGUAAACUUUCCUUUUAGAUAGAACUGAGUUAUCUGACCACACUUAUCCUACACACUGUGCGUUAACUAGUUUCUUCCUAACUAGUUGGUAUCGCCUAUAUGGAACCUUUACUUCAAUUGUGUUUUCUAUUCUCCUAACUAAGUUUCAUUGUUUUUGAGAGAUCUUAAGUCUAAUGAAGCAACUUUCCUCUAUGUGAUUUUUAGGUACAACUCAUCCUGUUUUAUCACCCUCAAUCAUCAUAUUGUCACACCCAUGAACUGAUGUAUUUAAGAUGUCUAUGUAGGACAAUGGACAUGACAGAAGUAUUUCAAGCUGCCUCCCAUUUUUCUCCUCCAUGUGUGCUACUUGCACCCUCUUUCAGAUAUGAUCAAUUUCUAUUAUUAUCUAAUUUUGUAUGACUGCAUAUUUAUCUUAACAUAUGCAGUUUACGACAUUCAUCUUUACUAUAAUAUAAUAUCAAUGGUCCCACAACUGUUCCAUAUAUCUUUUAUUUACCUUGUUAGGUAUCUUUCUAUCACAUAACACAUUGUAACAAUCUUUUAUUCAGUCAUUUUAUUCUAUUUGUAUAUGUUACAUCUUCAUCUAUCAUGCUAUUCUCCUAGAAGACUUCUGAGUUGUAGGUAUUUAGGCACUAAAUCUGCUACCUCCCACUAGCACAAGUACCGGAUGAUUGUGUCCACUAAGGCUUGGAUAAAUGAGAAGAAAUCAUCUAAUGUUUCUGCCUUCGCUGAUAUUUGAACCUAAGAUCUCAUGGUUCUCAACCCCACUUCAUUGACUUCCCUUGAGUGCUUAUGUUGUAGUAACACAAUCGUGCAACUUUAGACCUUGAUUAAUGUAAAAUGGAACUGAAUUAAACACAGUUGUAUUCUUCAGUGUUUGUACAUCAGAAGGUGCUGUAGCGCCAUCUGGAAUGAUUACUUGAAAGCUUAUUGAAAGUGUUGAGUCAUACUUUUGACUUGCAAACUUUCUUUGUGAAAGAAAAAAGAAUAUAUGAGAUAAGCAAUGUAAAUAAAAGAAGCCCAAAAACAAUAUGAUAUACCUGUUUAGAGGAUAACCUUAUAAUGCCCUUGGCCUCCUUUGCUAUCAAACUACCAUGCUGAUCUGUCUCGAGUGCCUUUUCAUCAUUACUGCUGUCAUCUUCCAGUCUAGAGUCUCCUGAAAUAGUUGUUUGACCAAAUGAUAAAGCUCUAGAUAUAUUCUGACGUUUCAAAGACGAAAGCUCCUCCUGUUUCAAAAAUUCCACCAAUCUUUUCCAUCAGUUUUAAGUUCACACCAACUUCUACAUUGCAUAGUAAAUAUUUAAAGAGGCUUUCUACCUUUAGAAGUCUUAUCUCAUGUUUAAGAGCAGAGACAUCUGCUGAAGAAUCUUCAUUGACGACAGCCUUCAUAUUGCAAAAGGAGAAAAGGAACAAAGUUAAAAUAUUGAGGCUGAAUGAUGGCCACUUUGUCAUCAGCGAAGUUAUAUGCUUACAUUGUUCUGAAUAAGUUUUGCCCGUUGAGCAAACUUUAACGUAUUCAGUGUUUCAGCUGCACAGCUGAGGAUAAAAAAAUCAGCGUAGUUGAAUAAUUUUUCACCAAAACUAGUCAGCAUAAGAUUAAGAAAGUUUAAAAUAACACCAACCAGAUAGAAGGGCUGACGUUUGAUAUAAUCAUUGUUUUUGAGUUUCCACCCAGUGAAUCCUGCAUUUUAUACUGUAAGAAGGACGCUGAUAUACUCGAAAUUUAAAAACUGGGUAGAAAAAUGUGUUUUAAAGUUCACCUGAAGUAGAAAUGUCAACUUUGAAUCCCUAUAAGGAACAUGCCUUGGCCUUCCAUUGGCAACAUCAACCAGAACCAUUAUUACAUGACUGCAGAAUGAAAUGCUCUGUCAAGUGAAUGUGAAAGGCCAGGAGAUGAAGCAAGAGUUAUCAGGGAAAAUCAUCAAGGAAAAAUACCCUAGAGUUGAUAAAGAUCUGUUAAUGCUUGCAGCUUCUUUCAAGCGUUCACCCUCAGCACCAGAAGCUUUUUGCCUGUAAUAGGUAAUGGCCACAUAAAUGAUGUGUCUGAAAUUUUUUUGUAGUUUUUUCUUUCCUGAGUAAACAUAACAUAUUUGCUCUUAUCAAUCAAAGAAUUACCUUUCUGAACCAGCAAGGUCAACAAGAUUAAGCCUUGAAAAACGGAAGUUAUCAGCAGAGUUCUUUUCCCACCUACUCUCAAUUAUACAGGUAAAGACACUGUGUGAGCGACUGCUCUCUCUGUUCAUGUUUGUUGCUGCAACUUUCCUGUUUAAAGAACCCUGAACAGAUAUUGAACUUUAUUCAAACUCAUGAGAAUAUUUUUAUGCCACUUACAAAACUUGCCUCAUGUGUGUGCUCUGCAAAGUGUAAGAUAUUAAUGAAGAAACUCAGUAUCUACAGAUAUUGUUACCUGAGUCAAGAGCUUAAGAAUGUCACCCACAGUCUGGACUUCAAAUUCGGACAGAUUUUCAACAUAAACACCUUUUGUGAUAUCCUCUCGCAACUAUAAGAGAAAAAUAUGAGUGUGAACCAACAGCAGUAAGUUGCAUCUAAUUUUAGGUCAAGUUCAGACACGGGAUAGACAAAUUACCAUUAAAUUUGAGGAUGAAGGUUCAAGGAGAUCAGUGAUUUGUUCAUUAUAAAUCUCUAGAAAAGAACAUUUGCAGCUGUAUUGUAGUCUCUCAUCCCUUCGACUUUCCUCUUCCUGAAAAAUAAAGAUCAAAAGUGACUUCACCUACAAUUCCUAGAUUAGAAGUUGUAUUAGGAACAAAAAGCAACAAAACAUCCUACUUACUGCUCUGAUCCUAGCAAACAAGAAUUCAAAUAUGCGCGGCGUCAUUCCUCGGUUGGGGCUCGGCCUGAUUUCCAGUUCUUCAAUCUCACCAAGCAUUGUAUGUGUCUUCCCACUACCAGUCUGCAAGAAGAUAUCCGAAUGUGCUACUAUUUUUUAGUCAAACUUGGCAAUUAAAAACUUGUGACUGGAAAAGAAUCAAGAAUAGGUGUCACUGAUUUGAGAACUAGAAAGAUAUGUGGACAGUUAUCAUAAAUACAUAGUGCUCAGUUGCCUUAGCAUCCAAACGUUGCAGAUUAUUUCAAAAAAGAAUUGCAUUUAGAGUAAGGAUGACCCUCUAAACUUUAGACGUCUCAGGGAAGCUUUUUUUAUUAUUAAAGGAGUUGGCGGAUAUCUCGAAAUUCAAUUGAUCAAGCAAAUCACAGUUUUCAGUAUUUGCAGAGAAAAAUUAUCUACAAGAUUUGCAUAGACAAUGAAAACUUAAUGAACCUUUUACAGUAAACAAUAAGUUUUUUUCCAUCAACAAACUUUGUUUAAGCAUGUGGUGUGACAACUUUUAACAUUAGUAGUGCACAAGUUUAGAAGCAGUCACACCAAUAGCUUUUCACCAAAUAUCAUGCCUAACCUGUCCAUAUGCAAAGAUGGAGCUAUUAUAUCCAGAUAAACAGUUCUCCACCAUCGGUAAACCGACCAUUCUAAAAAGUGUUUCCUGCACAAUGAAAUUGCAUAAUUUUCAGUAUCUUGUAGGACCACACAUAGUCCAACCAGAAAUGAUCAUAUUGCUCCAAGUUAAACGCUAAUUACACAGACCUGAUUGAUUGUUUCACAUGCCACGUGAUCAAAUGUGAACCGAGUUUCAGGCUGCCCUAUCCAAGUGACACAUUGUGCACUUUCCUGCUUCAAGCAUCUAGUGUACCCUUGAGUAUUUCUCUCCAUGCUGUUGAGAGGACGCACUCGUAUCAAAACCUGUGGUAAUUCAAUGUAGUUUAGUACUUGAUCACCAAAGGAUCGGUUAACACAAUAAUCACCAAAUAAAGGUCCACCUACCUGUACAUUGUGCUCCAACCAGAAUGAUGGAUUUUCCUUGAGGUCAAAAUGAGGAAUUUCAACUGUAUCAAGAACAGUCGGUGAAUUACCACUGAUUGGAAUUCCCCUAUACAAUGCUGUGUAAUUAGCCGUCCGGGAAGCUCCACUCGCUAAAGGCCUAGAACUACUGGCUAAAGAAAAUGAAGGAUUUGGAGGCUUUGUUACACUUUUAGAUGGUGUGUUUUGAUUAGAAUGACUCUCCGAAUAGUUAGAAUUUGCCCUCCCUAUCGUCCUAGUGGACCGUGGAGUAGCAUUGACAGCUACUAUCCUUGAUUGAUUCCCACAAGUACCUGCAUCCAUCUUUCCUUCAUCCCCCAUUUCCACAGAAUUCGAGCUGGAACCCGCUUUCUGCACCCAUCCAUAUCGACCUUUUGGAAGACUUACCGGUUUUUCUGGAGUUCUAUUAAUGUCGGAAUAUCUACUAGUCUUAGGUUUAGUGGGGGUCUUAUCAAUUUUAGUAACCCUAACACCCCCUUGUUGAUCUACUCCGCCUUUCAAAUUCCUGGUGGUUUCUUGAAUUGCGUUUAAAGGAGGCCUUGUUGAGUCUGUACUAGCCGGAGGACCCAUUGAAUCCCUCGGAUUCACCGGUACAUUCUCAAUUUCCUCCGGUUGGGUAUUAUUCUUACCACUGUUCCGUCGCAAGAAUUUGAAAUCCCUCAACAUUCUGUGUAUCAACAAAACGAUUCAAGAUACAACAAAAACACAUACAAUGUAAUUCCAUACAAAUCUUUAAACAAAACUCAAGAAAAGAAACAAAUGGGGGUUAGUACCUGAAAGAAGUGUUGAAGAAGAGAAUACCAAGUCCUCUAUAUGUUGAAAUUGUAAGUUACUUUCUUGAGCUGAACUAGGAAUUCAAGAAUCUUGAUUUUGAAACAUCAAAUCUUGAAAUGGAAAAUCAUUCUCGAGUAGAGAAUUUCUCUCUCUAGAUUUUUGGAGAGUGAAGACUGUUGAGUUGUUGAAUCAAGAUUUUCAAAUUAUGAAUCUGCAGGGGACAGAGAUGGACGGUUAUGAUUUAAUCAACGUUUGAAAUGGCGCAUUGGGUUUUGAAAUAGAGAGAGGGGUUUAUUCGGGAAAUUAAAGGAAUAGGAGGGGGAAAUUUUGAAAUAAAUUAUAGUCCUACUAAUGAUUCCUAACGGCUACAAUUUAAAUUUUUGCCAUAGAGUGGGGCCUUCGUUUUUUCAAAUUUAUUCUUUUUUGCCCUUCUUUUUUUCUUUAUUACCUUUUGUUCCACACUUUUUUGAGUUUUUACUCUAAUCAAGAAUGAUUGGGGUGCCAAGAUUAACCCAAUUUGAAUGGUGCACAAUGUUAUUAUGCACCUUUUUGUUACACAAAAAUAUGAAUUCGAAUUUAUAGACCAAAAAAUAUAAGAUUUGUGUCUACUACACAACUAAAGUUAUUAGUGUGGAGUACGUAGUACAAAUUCUCAUUUAUAGUAUUUUUAUUGGGAAACAAUUUAAAUAUAUUUUUGAACUAUUAAAAUGAAUCAGUUUUAUUCUUCGUUAUGUUUUUUGCUUGAUCAAACAAACUAAAGUCAUGAUCUUUUUUUUCUUCUUUUUUUUUUAACAAAAGUCAUGAUCAAGCAUAACUUAUAACAAUAUAUAUAGUAUGAUACUAGGGGUCGUUUGGUUGGGAACAAGUUAUUCCAUGAUAAGUUUUCUUGGGAUAACUUAUCCCACCAUGUAUAUGGGAUAACUUAUCUCAUCACUAUGAUAUAAAUGGUGAGAUAAGUUAUCCCAAACAUGGCAACCAAGCAAGAUUAAAAAAAAUUAUCCCAUCAGUAUUAUUUUUAAUCCCUCACACCAAACGACCCUAAAACAUAAAUUUAUGACCCACAAGAAAAUUAUUUACUAUAAGGGGAUAAGUUAUGUUGGGAUUAUUUUUUACACCAAAUGCCCUUCGUUUGGUUUGAAAAUGAGUUAUGAUGGGAUAAGUUAUGUUGGGAUAAGUUAUGUUGGGAUUAGUUAUGAUGGGAUAAGUUGUGUUGGGAUUAUUUUUUAUUGAGUGUUUGGUUUGUUAUAUUCAAAAUAAUAAAUUUAAGAACAAUUUAUUUAUUUACAAAAAUGCCCUUCAUUAAGGUAAAAAGUGAUACAACAAAAGGGUUGAAAGAGACAUUUUUGUCAUUUACCUAUUUUAUCCAGGGAUAAGUUAUCCCGGGAUUACUAUACCACCCAAGGAGAGGGAUAACUUAUCCCGGUACUAAUUAUUAAUCCCGGGAUAAGUUAUCCCGAACUUGCCAACCAAACAACAAAAUAAGCGGUACUAUAAUUUAAUCCCGGGACUAUUUGGUAUUAUCCCUUACACCAAACGAGUCCUAAGGGUAUAAAUUAAAAACCAACACAACAUAGGACAAAAAUGUAAAUGAUCCCUUUAAGAAAGAGUUAUAUUGGAUGAUUAAAAAUCAGCCCAAUAUGAAAUUACCUUGCACCAAAUUCAUAAGAUUUUGGGCGAAUUGGGAGAACAUCAUGUUUUGAAUCAUAUUUGACGUCCCUAAGGGUAGAACUCAUAUCACCAAAAAAUAGUUCUUUUUCCUUCUUCUCAAAUCUUUAUUUUCAAAUCAUUUUGAACAAUAAUAGUAGGAGAAAAUAUUAUUACUUUCUUUAAGAAAGGUAUUCUCAAAAACUUCUUUUUUUCAAACUAUAUGAUUUCACAUGCAUUACUAUUAGUAACACAAAAAUUAUAACACUUAUUGUUAGCAUAAGCGAUUAACAUACAACCAAAAGUCUUAUAAUCUUCUUCUUCUUCUUUUUCCUUUCACGAUUAAGUAUUAUAAUUUAUAACAAUAACAAGAUAUUUCCAUACUUUCAAAUAUUUCAAAUAUAAAAGGAAUAAUCUCUAAUCUUCUCUACUCAUCAAAAGAAUAAAAACAAGUAUAAAUAGAUGAGGAGAACUCAAAUCAAAAUAGAAAAUCAAGGAGAGGUUUUCUUGCUAAGGUUAUUAAAAGGAUUAAUAGCAAAUAAUGGGCUUGUUACAAAGGGAUUAAAGGAAAUAAUUGGCGUAAAUACCUAAAAGUGAUCCUAUACAUAACUUAUUCUUUGAGAUAAUUAAAUAUUUUUUUCAACAUUUUUUUAAAAAUUAAUAAAUAUGCAUACCUAGACCUUAUAAUAACCUUUGGUUUUUGCAAGUAGAGUGCAUCAUGCCUCUUAUUAUAUAUUUCGUUUAUAGAAGAUUAUCAUUGAGUGAUUGAGUUAGCUAGAGCUAAGUGGACAAGCAUACUAAUUAAUCUCUACCUAAUCGGAGUUUUUAUAAAAUCGAAUACAUGCAUGUUUGAUCUCGAGAAUCUUUUUAAAUUAAAAUUUCAAUAAUUUACAUGUUAUCAAUUUCAAAACUUUUACUAACACAUGUAACUGUUUAUUUAUAAAAUUAAUUUUAAUAUUUAAAUGUGCUCAUGAUCCACAUAUAAUAUUUAUUAAUCACUUAUACUCAUCGUUAAAAUAUAACUUCAUUUAUUGAGACUGUUAAAUUAGGUCCACACAUUUCAUGAAUCACCAAUAUGGGACCUUUGUGCUUUAACACCCCACCUCACCUCACGCCCAGUGCGUAGCAUCUGGUGCGUGGGCAAUUUUUGACCCAUCUCACGCCCAGUGCAUAGCAGUUGGUGCGUGGGCAAUUUUGGGCAAGUCCAGUGCUUAGCAUCUGAUGCAUGGGCAGUUUUUGAUUUUUUUGGGCCCCAACAUUAGGUGAGAUGGGUCAUUGCUCUGAUAGCAUAUUAAAUUAGGUCUUAGGUCUAACUCACACCCCAAAAACUAGUUCAAAGGGAGGAAAAUUGCGCAAGCUUUAUAAGGAGUCUACUCACCUCAUUAACCACCUGAAACUUUUUUGCUUUAACAGAGACUCCUUGUUUUAAUAUUUUUUAUUUUUUUUAAGAUGUGGGCAGUGUAUAGAAAAAGGGGAAGGGGAAGUGCUUUGUUAGAUUUAAAUCUUCAACAUUCGAUAGAAGAUGAAGUUAUAACAAUCACUAGUACUCUACAAAUUUAGAUCACCUUUUACAUUUUUAUUCAAAUUAUUUAAUUAGUUUGAUCUAGGAUUCUUGCGAUCUCGUAUAAUUAUAAAACUCAAUUAGUAGAUGUCUUAGUUCUGGAUUACUUUUCAAAUGACCAUAUAAUUAGAACGUUAAAGGAAAUAAUAACUUGCAGUAAAAUCAUGAGAAUGCCUCAAAUUUCAUUUUAUUUUUAAACUUAAUUUCUGAAAUAGUCAACAAACUUGAACUAUGACGUCAAACAUUUUAAACUUUGAGUUUAUUAAUAUUUUGCUGUCUGAUACUAUUUUUUUUUUUAAUGAUCUGGACAAUUUUGAUUUUUAAAAAAUUGCUACAGCUACUAUUAUAGUAUUUAUAUUCAUAGGCUAGAAAAUCAAGAAGUAAUACUUAAAUUACGUUGUACAAGAAACAUGAUGCGUUUUAGUUGGAAUUUUAUGAUUAAAAUAAAUAGAACUCCAUUACUAAUUAUUCAAACCUCUAUACUGGUGGACAAGUCAUUAGGCAAGUUUGUGAGCUAUAAAAUGCCUGUUUGAUCCAACUUUAUUAUCUCUAUAUACUACUUUUAGCCAACUUAACUCCACAAACCAUAAUAAUUAAGGUAAAAAUCCAAUUUUUUAGCUCUUUCUUUUCAUUCCAAAAUUUUGUAUACAACUUCAAUUCUAUUUUAUUUUUGUAUAGUUUGGUGGUGAGACAACAAUGGCAAAUAACAUUAAUGUUGCAUCUUUUGUGCUAGUUCAUACGGGAGGCCAUGGAGCCUGGUGCUGGUACAAGAUUGUCGAAUUGAUGAAAUCUUCAGGACAUAAUGUCACAGCUCUUGAUUUGGGUGCUUCAGGAAACAACCCAAAACAGGCCCUCGAUAUUCCAAGUUUUUCUGAUUAUUUGAGUCCGCUAAUGGAGUUCAUGGCUUCACUUCCUCCUGAUAAAAAUGUAGUUCUUGUAGGCCAUAGCCUGAGAUAAUAUCUCAUAUAGUCAUUCAACUUUGAAUAGCUCACUUAGAAACUCACUCAACUUUGGAUUGUUUACUUAGAAAGUCACUCAACUUUGUUUUUUAACUCAAAAGUUACUCAACUAUUGAUGUUUCACUUAAAAAGUCACUCAACUAUUUAUAUUUCACAUAGAAAGUCACUUAAUCAAUUUAAAUAAUCUUUUCAUUAAAUUUUCUAAAAAUACAAAAAAUAAGAUGCUUAUUUUAAUUAUUGUUUUUUUUACUACCUUUUCAUUAAAAAUAUAGUAGAAGAUCGUUACUGCCUCUUUUUUUUAAUUACUUCUUAUCAAUUCUAAUUUUUCUUUUUGGUAAUCUUUUAACAAUUUAUUUCUUUUAUUAUUUCCUUAAAAAUAGUUUAAGAUAAAAUUUAAUUAAAAAAAUAUUUAAAUUGAUUGAGUGACUUUUUAAGUGAAAUAUAAAUAGUUGGGUGACUUUCUAAGUGAAACAUCAAUAGUUGAAUGAUUUUUGAGUUAAAAAACAAAGUUGAGUGACUUUCUAAGUAAACAACUUAAAGUUGAGUAACUUUUUAAGUAAACAACUCAAAGUUAAGUGACCAUCUGAGAUAUGCCUUGGUGGACUCGCCAUUUCUAAAGCUAUGGAAAACUUUCCAGAAAAGAUUUUAGCUGCUGUAUUUGUCACUGCUCUAAUGCCUGGUCCAACUCUCAAUGUAACCGAAGUCUACAAUGAGGUAUCAAUUUUAGUUCUGAGAUGAUUCUGUUACGAUUUGUUUUUGCUUUUACAUGUUUAAAACUAAAUAUACUUUUGUUAUAGUCCUGCAGUGCAGUACUACCUGAACUUGAUAAUCGCGUUACAUAUGACAAUGGACCUACCAAUCCUCCAACCACCCUCAUCUUAGGUCCCAAGUAUUUGGCAACUAAUGUUUACCAAUUGAGGUAAGCAAAUCACAAUAUUGUAUCAAAUCACAAAUUAAAUCUAUUCAAGUGCUUAUUUGCAACAUCAACGUAACUUGUAAUUGAUUUAAAUCAGUUUGUUUAUUUCUUUUUUGGUGUUAGGAUUGGACGAUGGCUACUAAACUAGUGAGGUCACUAUAUUUAUAUCGUGCUGAAGAUGUUUCUAAGGAGGUAGUUCUUGUUGGGUUUUAAAGGUGUGAACAGGAAAUGAAGGGUUGUGACUCUCCUGAAGAGUUGUGACUAUGCCGAAGGGUUGUGAACUUUAUGAAAGGUUGUGUCCUUUCUAAAGGAUUGUGACCGUUUGAAAGGUUAUGCCUUUUCCCAAGUGUUGUGACCUUUCUGAAAGGUUGUCUUCUUUCCAAAGGGUUGUGACCUUUACCCUUGUUGGCUAUAAAUAGAGAGGUUUUCUCUCAUUUUUCUGCAUCGAAUUCUUCCCUUCUUUUGCAUACAUUUCUUACAAAACAAAAUCGAUCGAUCGUGUCUGUGUGUGUGAUUCGUUGCUGUCANNNNNNNNNNNNNNNNNNNNNNNNNNNNNNNNNNNNNNNNNNNNNNNNNNNNNNNNNNNNNNNNNNNNNNNNNNNNNNNNNNNNNNNNNNNNNNNNNNNNNNNNNNNNNNNNNNNNNNNNNNNNNNNNNNNNNNNNNNNNNNNNNNNNNNNNNNNNNNNNNNNNNNNNNNNNNNNNNNNNNNNNNNNNNNNNNNNNNNNNNNNNNNNNNNNNNNNNNNNNNNNNNNNNNNNNNNNNNNNNNNNNNNNNNNNNNNNNNNNNNNNNNNNNNNNNNNNNNNNNNNNNNNNNNNNNNNNNNNNNNNNNNNNNNNNNNNNNNNNNNNNNNNNNNNNNNNNNNNNNUGCCUUUUCCAAAGUGUUGUGACCUUUCUGAAAGGUUGUCUUCUUUCCAAAGGGUUGUGACCUUUACCCUUUGUUGGCUAUAAAUAGAGAGGUUUUCUCUCAUUUUUCUGCAUCAAAUUCUUCCCUUCUUUUGCAUAUAUUUCUUACAAAACAAAAUCGAUCGAUCGUGUUUGUGUGUGUGAUUCGUUGUUGUCAUUUUGAGUUCGUUGAAAUUAUCGAAGUUUGAGGUACCGCUACUUCUUUAAUGGUUAAUCCGUUUUAUCUUGGGAGGAAUUAAUCUGCAACCUCGGAUACUUGAGGGGAUUAAAUUUUUAAGGACACACAGUGGGUUCUGUGGACUCGGAUAGUUCUUUGUGUUUUUCUUUUUAUCUUUUAUUAUUUCUGGUUUGUUAAUCUGAAUACAUGAGAUAACAGUUCUUUCAAGGGAAAGGUAUGGAUCAGUUAGGCGAAUAUUCAUUGUUGCUGCUGAAAAUAAAUCUUUAAAGAAAGAACUUCAAUAUUGAAUGAUUGAAAAUAAUCCACCUGAUGAAGUGGAAGAGAUCGAGGGCUCUGAUCAUGCAGUCAUGAUGGCUAAGGCCCAACAGCUUUUUACUAUCCUUUUGCGCAUUGCCAACAAGUGAUGACUCUGCAAAUUUUGUAUCACCUUUUACAUUUUUAUUUAGGCUACUCUUGGCUAUCAUUCGUUUUCUUAUACUAAAUUAAUCUGAUCUAAGAUUCUGACUCAUGAUUUUCAUUAAGAGGAUUCAAAUAAAGAAAUGUAGUACCUUGGAUUUGAAUUUAGAAACUCAUGAAUCAUGAUAUUGGCUUCUUUUAUGAUACGUACGAUCUGAUUUAAAGAACUUGAUAUUUAUAUACUACUAUAUUCAUAGGCUACAAAAAAAUAUCCCUUUUUUUUUCAAUAAAUAAAUACUACUUAUAUUGGCCUAGGCGAUAUUCUUUUUAAAGAAAAGAACGACAAAUUAAAGAAUUCUUUAUCUAAAUUUGGACAAAAGGAGUUAGGACCAUCUAAUUUCCUGACAAAGUUGAUGAGCUAUAUAUAAGAUGCCUCCUAAUCCAAUAUUCAUUCUUCUAUCAUCUCUUUUGGCAAAUUUAGAGCACUCCACAGUCCACAGGACAUCACAAUCAGGUAAAUAUCCAAUCAUUUAUCUCUUUCUUUUCCAAGAUUUUGUACAAACUUGUCACAACUUCACUUUUUUUUUGUAUAGGUUAGUGGUGAGACAAUACAAUGACAACAUUAUUUGCAGCAACAGUAAAUUCAGCAGCCAAUAUUGUAGGUACAAAGAUGUCAUCCAAGAUCAAAAGAAACAAAAUGAAGUACAACAUUAGUGGAUUCAACUCAUUUAGAGAUCAAAAGGCAACUAACCAUGUUGCCUCAUUAAGCCUCCCUUUGUCCACUGCAAACAUUGUUAGCUCAUCACAACCCAAAGGUGGAGCUUUGUCCUCUACCUACAAUGCACGUUGCUUUUUAGAUUUUCAAAUCAUGCAUUUAGAGUAAAUAAAAUGCUCAAACAUUGUCAACAAGUUGAUAUCCCAAAUACAUCAAAAAAUACAUGUCCAAACAUAUUUGUCAAUUCCCCUUCAGUACUCACAAUUUGGCUACAAGCUUACCAUAAUCGACAAUUAAAUAGUUCUAAUACUUAUGUUUCCAUAUGCAGAUGCUAUCCUGUCAGGGCCAAAUAACUUUGUGCUAGUUCAUACGGGAUGUCAUGGAGCCUGGUCAUGGUACAAGAUUGUAGAAUUGAUGACAUCUUCAGGGCAUAAUGUUACAGCUAUUGACUUGGGUGCUUCAGGAAACAACCCAAAACAGGCCCUGGAAAUUCCAAGUUUUUUUGAUUACUUGAGUCCACUGAUGGAGUUCAUGGCUUCACUUCCUGCUCAUAAAAAAGUAGUUCUUGUAGGCCAUAGCCUUGGUGGACUUGCCAUCUCUAAAGCCAUGGAAACAUUCCCCGAAAAGAUUUCAUCUGCUGUAUUUGUCACUGCUCUAAUGCCUGGUCCAACUCUCAAUGCAAGCAUCGUCUACACUCAGGUACCAAUUUUCCACAUUGUAUUUAAAUUCUUAAUUACAUGUUUGAAACUAAAUAUACUUCGUUAUAGUCAUGUAGUGCAGUACUACCUGAACUUGAUAAUCGCGUUGCAUACGACAAUGGACCUACGAGUCCUCCAACCACCCUCAUCCUAGGUUCGAAGUUCUUGGCAAGUAAUCUUUACCAGUUGAGUCCAAUUAAGGUACGUAACCAAAUCAUAACACAUAUUUAAGUGCUUAAUUGUAACAUCAACUUGAAAUUGAUUUAAAUCAGGAUUGGACGAUGGCGACUAAACUAGUAAGGCCACUAUAUUUAUAUCAUGCUGAAGAUGUUUCUAAGGAGAUAUAUAGUUCUUUCAAGGAAAAGGUAUGGAUCAAUUAGGCGAGUGUUCAUUGUUGCUACUGAAAGUAAAGCUUUUAACAAAGAAUUUCAACGAUGGAUGAUUGAAAAUAAUCCUCCUAAUGAAGUGGAAGAGAUCACAGGCUCUGAUCACAUGAUCAUGAUGUCUAAGCCUCAACAACUUUUUACUACCCUUCUGCGCAUAGCCAACAAGUAACAACUCACAUAUUUGAUGCAUUUUCAUGGCAAUCUCAGUGAAGUUCUGUUGUUAUUUCUUCAUUUUCUUUCCGUUGUAAUUUUCUUUCAUUGUAAUUUCAGUGUUUGAAAUUGACAUCGACAUCUAUUUUCUUUCUUCUGAUUCGUCCAACUGUUCAAUAUAUAAAAAGCUUCCUUUUUACGAAACAACACAAAUUUUUUAAAUCAAAUAGUCCAUUUCAUAAAAUUAGUCAGUAUCAAACGAAAAUAACUUCAAGUUGAACAGUAAUUUCCUAGGAUAAUGAAGAUCAAGUUACUCAUCAAACUCUUCUAAAAAUUUAUACUUGCGAAAAAAAAACCCCGACUAUAAUUGAGUUGGUUUGGUUUUAACUAAAAAAAAUCAAUCCGAGACCAAACCAACCCGACAUUAUAUAUAUAAUUUUAAAAUUUUAUUUUAUACAUAAAAAUAUUUACUUUGAUAUAUUUUUUAAAUAUUUCUUAUACUUUUUCAUAGUUUUUAUCUUUUAAUAUAUUAUUUCAAGUUUGAAACUUAGANNNNNNNNNNNNNNNNNNNNNNNNNNNNNNNNNNNNNNNNNNNNNNNNNNNNNNNNNNNNNNNNNNNNNNNNNNNNNNNNCAAUAAAGAUUAUAGUCCACAUAUGUUGGUAAUUAUAAUAAAGCUUAAAUCAAAAUCAAAUUAAUACUAAUGCAAAAAGAAAAUCAAUUCAACACUAAGAAUGACAAUAAUAUUGAAUAUUUGUUCUUUGGUUUUACAUUGGUUUAGACAAUUAAAGUACAUAAUCUAAUUUGAAUUUCCUUUAAUAUUUAGUCAUGUAACUAAUACUUAUUAAACUUAUUUUAGCAUGAUUUAGUACUUUUAAAUUAUGAUCAUUUUCAUUAUGACUUGUUAAUUUGCAAUAUUUGUUUUACGCGAUUUCAUUAUUAUUAUUUUAUUUUUUUUGGAUAUUUUAGUGUCAUUAAUCAUAUCAUUGUUUGUGUUGUAUUCUUAAGAAACACCUUAAAUAGUUGUAUUUUGGUAGGACUAAAGAAAUAUUUAAAGUACAAGUAAAUUAUACGUUUGUAUGAAUACUUUGGCGGAAAAACCUGAAAACCCAAAAAAAUCUGAGGUUGAAAAACCCGAGUUUUAUUGGUUGAUUUGGUUUAUAGAUUUAAAAAUUCGACACAAAUAAUUUGGUUUGAUAAUUGAAAAACCCGAACCAACCCGACUAUAUACACCCCUACACAAAUGUAUGGUGUUUAUUAAUCGGAAAGGGAACUGUCAUGAAUCAUGUGAUUUUUCUUCAGAGUUAAUAAUUGGAACUACACAUAAUAUAAUAUUCUCUAUGCCUUUUUUUUACUAAUAAUUUGAGUGAUAAAUACAACAUAACUAGUAUUGGGAAAAUGAAACUAGGCCCUAAGCUUAAGUGUUUAGAUGAUCACAAUGAAAGUUGGGGUGUUUAACUAUUAGUCGAGCUAAGUUUAAGUGUUUAUCUAUAUAUUUUUUAAAUAUAAAUAUACAUAACAUACAUUUUGUACAUAUUUUAUAAAUUAGUUGGUCAAAGAUAUGCUUAAUACCGUUAUUAUCUCUUUAAUUUUUAGAUAACAUUUUCCAAGUUCGACUUCAAAUAUUUUAUCAUUGCGUAUAGAUUUGAAUUGUCGGAGAUUUUAUGAAAAAUCUCAUUGCUUGAUACGUAUUAGGAACACUAUCUUUAAAAAUAUUUCACGAGUAAAAAAAAUGAAUCCCAGCGAAUUAAACGACUAACUGCAUACAAAUAAGGAACAAGAGGCGAUUAUUUGAUGUAGGUACAUACGAAAUUGUUGGAAAAAAAAUAAAGAUCAGAAAACAUGCAGAUCACAUGGUUGUCUAUAGGUAAGGAUUUUAAAACGCAGAGAGGAGGCAGAGUAAAAUUUUAGAGAGAUAAUUACUUCACACUAAUCAAUACAUUUAAUUUUGUCAUCUUCAUUAUAGAGCAUGGGUCUGACUCUGAUAAUUAUGCUAAGGUCUUUUAAGGUUAAAGUUGCCCUUUCAUGGUUUUGUUCCCAUUUUUCUAAUGGAUUUUCUCCAUAAGAUCUUUGUAAAUUUUCUUUAAUCUUUUCUAGAUUAAGACACUUACAAGUAAUUUUUCUUAGAUUUUCUAAGUAUUUUCUUUUGAAAUUACCAUUAUCUUUUUCAAGAUUAUAAGGAUUUUGUUUUCUUGGGACUUUAAUAAAAUGUCCGCUUACAUACUAACCAUAGUUAUGAUGCAAUAAUAUUUGCAAUACAUGAAACGAAAAUGUAUAGAAUACAAGAAUAUUUAGAAUAUAAAAAUGCUCUAUCUAUCUUAAAAAAUUAUAGAGUAUUCACUGCAUAAUUAUCCGCAACCCUGUUUUGAAACAGAAUCAAAUCUGUUUAUGCUUCCAAGCUCUUUUUCUUAUGCUAUGCAAAGAUUUUUGAACAAAUUUCAUUUUUAUGCUACUAGCAUGAAUGUAAACAAAAAUAGCAUGGAUAAAAUCUUAUGAUUCUUUUAUUCCCUAUAGGUACUAAGUAUUUCUUUCUAUGUCUAAGUAUGUAUAUAAUCUGAUAUAGUAUGACUUUUUAUAUAUAAAAUUUACGUGUUUGAUAAAUAUUUAAAGUAUUUAUAACUUGAUAUUAGUCAAAAGUUAUAAGUUGGGCAUUCCUAUGUAAUUUAAGAAUUUUCAAAUUAUAAACACUUUGGCUUGACCAAGGCUUUUAUUAUUUUAUUUUAAAUAUUUUUUCUUAUUCUCAAAAUAUCUUUUUCGAUUCCAAAUCAGAAAUAUAACAAAGAGGUUAUUUAUGAGUAUCGAUGUCAAUUUCAAUAUUUGAAAUUGCCAUCAAAGAAAAUAACAACGGAAAGAAAAUAUUUAAGGGUGUGUUUGAUAUGGAUGAAAACAUUUUCUGAAAAAUGUUUUCCAAUUUUUUCAUGUUUGGUUGGCUUAAAUGUUUGGAAAAUGUUUUUCAAAUCAACUCAUUUUCCUCAAAUUUAAGGAAAAUGACUUCCCUUCCAAAAUUAAGGAAAACAUUUUCUAAAACUCUACUUUAUCCUUUAAUUUUUUUUCUCACCCUAUACAUACCCGGUACCCGACCCUCCCCAUUAAAAAAAAUUAAUUUUUUUUAAUUUUCUUAUUUUUAAAAUUUCAAAUAUAUUUUUAUCCCUACUUCCAACCCCCUCCCCCCCUCCUCAAACAAAAUAAAGUAAAAAUUUAAAAAUUAUUUUUGAAAAGUGUUUCAAAUUUUAAGAUUUUUUUUACCUCACCCAACUCCUACCAAAAUAUUUCAAAUUUUAAAUUUUCAUUUUUUAUGCCACCCCCUCUCCCCGGCCAUUUUUAAGAAUUUUUUUUUGAGAAAUAUUUCAAAUUUAAAAAAAUUUCAUCUUUUUCACUAACCUCACCCCUAUCCCCCCCCCCAACCCAGGCCACCCCAUCAAAAAAAAAUUAAAAGUCAAUUUUUUUUUUCAUUGUCUUUGAAAUUGUUUUCCUAGGUCAGGUCCUGGGUCAAAUCUCAGGGUCGGAUUUUGGAACGGUCAUCGGGAUCUUAUCCUAGUUUGGGUGUUAGGGUCGGGUCCUAGAUUAAUUAUCGGGGUUAAUUUUUGGAUCAGAAAUUAUUUUUCUAAAGAGUAUUUUUUAGUCUAAAGCCAAAAAUAAAGAUAUUUUUUGAAAAAUAUUUUUCAUUUACCAAUCAAACAUUAAAAAAAAUUCCAGAAAAUAUUUUCUACUUACCAACCAAACAUGAAAAAAUAAGUUAGAAAUUCAUUUAUUUUUCAAGAAAAUAUUUUCUAGAAAAACAUUUUCCACGAAAAAAUGUUUUCGUACCUACCAAACACACCCUAAAUAUCAAUUCCAAAGACCAAAAAUGUUUGAUCACAUCUUUGAAGCGCAGCAGUGAGUCAGAUAGUAAGGGGUAAUGGAUCUGUUCACGUGGAUGACUUAUUAAAAAUUCUUUUUUAAGUAAAACAAAGGACAAACUAUAUAAUUCUUUAUCUAAAUUUGUAUAAAAGGAACAUGGUCUGUUUUAGAUUCCAUUUGGAUGGUCUUAAAAAUUAGUCAAAUUUAUUUUAAAAUCUUUGAAAAUAUUUGAUAAGAUUUAAAAUGAGUUUAGAAUAACUUGAAAAAAACGUUUAAAAGGAAAAGUAGGUUUUUUCUUAUUUUUUAUUUAUUUAUUUGAUUUUAAAGCUUUUUUUUAAAAAAAAUCAAUCCAAAUGAGCUCUGGCAAGAAAAUUAGUCAAUUUAUUUUUAAAUCAUUUUUAGUUUUUGAAAAUAUUUGAUAAGAUUUAAAAUGAGUUUAGAAUAACUUGAAAAAACGUUUAAAAUGAAAAGUAGGUUUUUUCUUUAUUUUUUUUUUAUUUUUUAUUUUUAAAGCUAUUUUUUAAAAAUCAAUCCAAAUGAGCUCGGGCAAGUUGAUGAGCUAUGAUAAGAUGCCUCAUUAUAUUAUCCAAGAUUAGAGCACUCCACAAGCCAUCACAAUUAGGUAAAAAUGUUCUUUCUUUCUUUUCCAAUAAACUUGUAACUUCAAUGAUUUAUUUAUUUUGUAUAGGUUGGUGGUGAGGCAACAAUGACAACAUUUUCAGCAGCAAUAGUAAGUCCAUCAGCCAUUAUAGGCACAGGAAGAAAAUCUUUCUACAAAAGAGCCAAAGUGACGAACAAAAUUAGUGGAUUGAACUUAUUUGGAAGUGAAAAGGCAAAUAAGCAUGUUGCCUCAUUAAGCCUCACUAUGUGCUCACUGAAAACCCCAUCACUAGGUGCAAAAAGCUUGUCACAACCCAAAGCUAAGAAGCACUUUGUGCUACUUCAUACGGGAUGUCAUGGAGCCUGGUGUUGGUAUAAGAUUGUAGAAUUGAUGAAAUCUUCAGGGCAUAAUGUUACAGCUCUUGACUUGGGUGCUUCAGGAACCAACUCCAAACAGGCCCUCGAAAUCACAACUUUUUCUGAUUAUUUGAGUCCGCUAAUGAAGUUCAUGGCUUCACUUCCUGCACAUGAAAAAAUAGUUCUGGUAGGCCAUAGCUUUGCUGGACUCGGCAUCUCUAAAGCCAUGGAAAAUUUUCCAGAAAACAUUUCAGUUGCUGUAUUUAUCGCUGCUUUAAUGCCUGGUCCAACUUUCAAUGUAACUACAGUCUACACUAAGGUAUUGCACUCGUUUUACUUGUCAUUUUUUAACAAAUAAAAAUAAUAAUUAUUAUAAUCUCAAUUUAUUUAGAAAGUUACUCCCUUUAUAAAAAAUGAAAAGUAAUUUGAUUCGACAUGAAAUUUAAGAAAGAAAUACACUUUUUUUUGUUAUAGACAUGUAGUGCAAUAAUACCUGAACUUGAUAAUCACGUUACAUACGACAAUGGACCUGGGAAUCCUCCAACCACACUCAUCCUAGGUCCCAAGUUCAUGGAAACUAAUCUUUACCAGCUGAGCCCAAUUAAGGUAAGCAGAUUAAUAUUACAAAUUUAUUAAUCAAGUACUUGAUCGUAAUAAUAACUUGGAAUUGAUAUAAACUAAGUUUUUUGCCUUGUUGAUGUUAGGAUUUGAAGCUGGCUACUAAAUUAGUAAGACCGCUAUAUUUAUAUCCUGUGGAAAAUAUUUAUGAGGAGAUAGUUCUUUCAAGAAAAAGGUACGGAUCAGUUAAGCGGGUAUUCAUUAUUGUUGCUGAAAGUAAAGCUCUGAACAAAGAAUUUCAACAUUGGAUGAUUGAAAAUAAUCCACCUGAUGAAGUGGAAGAGAUUUUAGGCUCUGAUCACAUGGUCAUGAUGUCUAAGCCUCAACAACUUUUUACUACUCUUCUCCAUAUUGCCAAUUCACAUGCCUGAUUUUAGUCCUAGUUAAUUUGAUAAUUCAAUCAUUUUAUUUUCGUUGUUAUUUCCUUUUAUUGUAGUUUCAGUGUUUGAAAUUGACAUUAAUAAAUAAUCUUGUUGCCUUGCUUCUGAUAAUUUCCAAUUAUUAGGCGAUUCGUAUCCAUACAAAUAUUUUGCGAUUUUUUUUUUUUAUAAAACAAUAGCAACUUCUUUCAAUCAUACAAGUAGUUCAUAUCAUAAAAUCAACUAAAAUCAUAAGGGAAAUCAUUUCAAAUAAAUUCAAACUUUGAAACUUUUGAGGUUAUAAUCCAAGAAUUUAUCUAUUUGAGAAGCUAAAAUUUAAAAUAAUAUAAAUUUUACUUGUAUCUCAGAGUGGCAUUUUCCCGCUUUUUACUUCAUAAUUCAUGGCAAAAGUAUUUUAUUUUAUUUUAAAAAAAAACUUUAAGAAAUAGAGCCACAAGGAUCCUAGAUCAAAUUAAAAAAUAGUUUUUUUUAUUUGUCUUGAACAUCCUGGCUAGGUGCAAAUUAAAGGAUGAAGCAUUACUCAUAUUAUUACAUUAAGAAGACUCAAGGGAUCAGAUUAGGCAAAGAUUAACUUAAACUAAUGCCAACAUGUGUUUAAACUUAAAAUCUCAGAUUAGGCAAAGAUUAAUUAUGCUUGUCAGUCAGCUAAUUCAAUUCAAUCAAUGAGAAUCUUCUAUAUACUAUACUAAUUCAAUUAGGGGUGUUCACGGGUUGGUUUGGAUCGGUUAUUAGGUAAAAUCAAAACUUAACCAACUUAAUCGGUUUUAAAAUUAUCAAAAUCAAACCAAACCAAUUAUAAUAUAUAUUUAUCGGUUUGGUGGUUAUCGGUUUCAGUUUGGUUUGAUUUGGUUUGGUUAUUCGGUUAUUAAUCAUACACAAAAAUAAAAGAAACAAUUUAUUCAAAAUGUGAAAAAAGUGACAACAAUCCAUUCAAAACGAAAAAUAGUUAGAAUGACUGACAUUACUGAACUUUCUAUCACUGAAUUUACAUGAAUACAACUUUAAAAUUCACUAUUUUGUCCUAGAAAGAAGAUACAGUAACAUUUUCAAUCCCACAAAAAGAAUUGUCAUAGACACUCAUAUACAUGAAAUCAAUAACAUAAAUGUUUUCACCUUAGGCCUUUUUGCUUUCAAUAAGUAAAUUUUAAUUAUUUUUUUGAUGAAAACAUAUAUAAGAUCUUUAAAAUUGUUUAUAGAAAUAAUAUAUUAAGUAUGUAUAUCAAUAAAAAUAUUAUGUAUAUAAUUUAUAGGUUUAGUUCGGUUAUUUCUUCGAUUUUUUCGAAUAAAAUCAUAACCAAACCUAAUACUGUCGAUUUUUAAAAAUCUAAAACCAAACAAAAUCAAAUCUAAAUAAAAUUGGUUUAUUUUAUCGUUUUAAUUCGAUUUGAAUCGAUUUUUAACCAAACCGUGGACACACCUAAAUCCAAUGAUAUCAGGGAAGAAUAUGCACUUUAGUUUCAACGAUUAGAAUUAGUGGUUUUUUUAUACGGGGUCUAAAUAGAUACUCCCUCUUUCCCUAAUUACUUGUCUACUUUUGAAUUGACACACCUAUUAAAAAGUAAUUAUUGACAUAGUGAGUUUACCAUUUUUACCCCUAUUAAUUAUGAAGAGAUAAAUUAAAAACUUGAGAUUUUCAAGAAGUUCUAUCUUUUUUCAAAGUAAUUAAUUGAGGGUAUAAUAGGUAAAAAUAUUUUGUCCUUUCUUGAUUUGUCAAAAAUGGACAAGUAAUAAGGGACAACUAAAAAAGAAAAAGUGGACAAAUAAUUAGGAACAAGGGAGUAUAUGAUAAAUUACUAAAAUUCUAAUAAAUAUCAAAUGUUGAACCUAUAAUGCAAAAAUCAAUCAUGACCGAAAAAAACAUAAAAGAUUAAACUCAUGAAAUGUAAAUCCUGACCUACCACAACAUAUGGUAUUUCAUUGUCCUAAACCACAUACUAUUUAACAAUCAAUUUCAUUUUAUUCAAUAUAUAGACAGUAGACCUAACAUUGAUGAGUAAACGGCUAAUUUUUAUAAUUAAAAAAACAUGAGGUUUAUUAUUUUUUUUUUUGUCUUUCUGAUAUUACGUACGUUGGUUUAAUUGUUAUAAUAAUAAUAAUUAAAAAUAAAGUAGAAAAGGGUCCUUGACACUCCUCCUAUGUUAUUUGAGAGAGAAAUAUUUAAAAAAAUUUAAAAAACAACGGUUGUUCUAUGAUCUACAAAUCAUGAACGUAUCAUAUAUAUAUUUUGUAAUAAAUUUUUAAAAGAUUACUUGCUUAUAUUGUAAAUAAAUUGAAAUUCUAAUUUUGAAAAUAAUUUAUUAAUAAAAUGAUGAAUCAAUUUUUUUAAUUCUGUUAUCGUUUUUUUUUAAUCCGAUCUAAUAAAAUGAUGAAAUUUUUAUAUCUUCAAAUUGGGUGAUAAAAUAAAAUAGAAAAUGACAUGGAUUUUAUCUCCAAAAUAGAAAUAGAAAAUUACAAAGGUUUUAGUUUCCUCCAAAAACAAAAAGUAAGAUGAAUAUAGAAAAUAUUAACAUAAAAUAAAAAAUUUGAGCACAAUUUUCUUACGUGUCUUUAAGGAAAUUAAUUCCCUCGCUAUUGUUGGAGAUUUUGGAUCAAUUAAUUUCACCAACGAUAGAACAAAAUAAGCUAUUUGUAAUAGCGGCAAUUCAAAUUAAAAAACUUUAGUGAACUCAACGUAUAGAAUAAAUCACGAGACUUAACUAAAUUUUAUGUUUUUUUUAAAACAAAUGCAGAUAACAGUUAGAGGGGAGAAAGAAUCCAAAUUUCGGUGCUUCAGUGUAUCUUUGAAUUUAUUUAUAGACAAUAAAAAGAAUAAGAUGAAGAGGUAUAAUCUAAAAGGUGUUUUUAAGUGCAAUUCAAAAGUAUUUUUUCUUAUUUUUCAUUUUUUACCUUAAAAUUCCAACAAUCGACACUAUAUCCAUAGAGGUUGCAUGGUUGGUAAGGUAAAAAUAAUAAUUUCAGAAUAAAAUGAAAAAAAAUUAUUCUAUAUUUGGUUAUAAGUAUUAAUUAAUUUUGAAUUUAUUUUAUCUCACUAUUUAUAUUAUAAAAUGAUGAAAUUAAUUAUUUCACGUAAAAAAAAUAAGAUUGAAACUCAUAAAAUAUAAUUUUAUUUAUCUCAUCUCACAGAUCAAACAACAAGAAAACUCGAAACAUCCAAAUGUGCUCAUAUGUAACUUUUAGACCAUUUAAAAAUGAUUUUGAGUUAGUCGGAAUUAAAAGAUUUCAUUAACUACUAAAGCUUCUUCAAAUAUUCAUUGAUAUACACUAUUUAUACGAUAUCAAUACAUUAUAUAUACAUAAUAUAUUCUAUUAUGAGAAAAGGGUCUGAUAUACCCCUCAACUUUGUCAUUUGGAGUUGAUAUGCCCCUCGUUAUAAAAGUGGUUCAUAUAUACCCUUACCGUUAUACAAACGGCUCACAUAUACCCCUACCGUUACAAAAUGAGCUCACAUAUACCCUUCAUUUAACGGAAGUGAAAAAAUUAGGGGUAUAUAUGAUUCUUCUAGCAAAGUUCAAGGUAUAUAUAUUUUUUUUUCAUACAUAAAUUAUUUUUUGACUUCUUUGAUUAUCAUUAUUUGAGUUUCUUAUUCUGAUUUUAUUUUUUCUUUCAUUCCUUAUUGUAAAGAGAAAAAAAUUAAAACUAUUUUUUUGUGGUUAUAUUAUAAUUUAAAACUAUUUUUUUUGUCUAUAUUGUAAUUUAAUUUUUGUAUUUGAAGAAAAAAAUUGGUCAUCUAUAAUAAGUUUUACAAGAACAUUAGUGAAAUAUAAAUAAAUUUGACUAUCAAAAUAAUAAAUCUAAAUUAGUCAUUGAAACAAAAAAAAGUCAAAAAAAUAUGUUUGAGGAGGAUUAAAUAUACCCAUAUGGGAUUAUAUUUCUUUAAAAAAAAAAAAAAAAAAAAUUAAACUAAAAUUAAUUUUUUUCCAUUUCCGUUAGAGAAAAAGGGUAUAUGUGAGCCAUUUGUAUAUAAGUAGGGGUAUAUAUGAGUUACUUUCAUAACAAGGAAUAUAUCGACUCUAAAUGACAAAAUUGAGGGAUAUAUCAGAUCAUUUUUCCUUCUUUUAUAUAUCAGAUAUACAUGGUAUACAAUAUCGAUGCAUGUACAUGGGACCCAUUCUUUUUGUUCCAAUACAUAUCGGUAGUUAUCCCAUUAUUAUAAUUUAUCCUGCCAUACAUACUAAAUAAUAAAAUUAACUAUACAAAUCCUUUCCGAAUAUUCUUGUCUAUCUGGUUGCAAUUUGCACUGAUCGAAUGACUCGUAGGGUCUACCAGCUGAUCUCUCUGCAUCCUCCAUAGCCCAAUGUCCCACCAUCCUCUCAUUGCUAGCCUACCCUAGCCCCCACUUAGUGUUCGAAUUUUUUAUAUAUAUAUAUUAAAAAAUUACAUAUUGUUUUGAAAAAUAUAUUCUAAGAAAACUUUGUGAAUAAUAUUUUCCUUGAUACCAAACUCUAAUCAAUGACUUCUCAAAAUUCUAUCGUUUUAAAUUAGGACAAAAGAUACCAAAUAUUCUCUUUUUUUUUAAGCUGAUAAAAGAUACUACCAAAUAUCGAUCUUAUCCUGUUUUUGCUUUUGAACAAACAUUUUAAACUUUAAAAAAUGUCUUGAUCAGUCACAAAUCAAGUCCUAUAAUAAAACUCAGUAUUUCAUUGUCACCAUGACACUUUUCUCACUUACUACAGCCAAAAUAUAUUACUAUUAUAUAUCCACUUUUCCACGUAAUUACUACACUAUAUUCUAUUAAUUUUUUUAAUAGCUAAGUAGCACUGUCAUGAAGCUCCAAAAAGAAACAUAAAGAAAAUGAGAUAAAAGAGAUGUUUUUGUUCUAUGCGAAUCUGAAUUAUUUGGAUAAAAAAGUAACUACAACAAUUUUGUGUUCUUACAAAUUGUGUCAAAUUAAAACACUUGCAACCUUUGAAGAGACAUACAAAGUGCCUCUUCACCAAAAAGUAACUUAAACAAUUUUUCUUUUAUUGGUACUCAAAAGUAACUUAAACAAUGCCAUCAUGUCCCUAUUUAUAUUCACUUUUAAAAUUUAAAAAGCUCAUAUUAGGUGAAGAUUAGUCACUAUGUUUGUCCUCUAGCUAACGCAAUCAGUGAGAAUCUUCUACGUAUCUAAUUAUCAAAUUCAGAUGCACUUUAGUUUCAAAAUAAUUCGAACUGAAUCAAAUACUUUAUAGAUAUAAUAUCAUUAAAACUAUAAUUAAAAAUAAUACAUACUAAAUUUUGAUUUCACAACUACAAAAAUAUAAAAAUAUUAAACUCUAUAGAUUUUAAUUUUGAAUCCAUCUCUACUAAUAGUAAGUAUUUCUUUACCCCGAAAUACAUAAUAAAACAAUUCCAUUAUUUUAACAUAGACCAACGUUGAUCUGUGUGCGGCUAAUUUAUUUUUCUAAUUAAAAGCGCUUUUUGUUUUUCGUCCUUGUAUAAUUAAUAAAUAUACAUCGUUAUUUUAAGAGAAAAUUGUAUAUAAUAACAAAUUAUUAAUUCGAAUUAAAUGCUAUAAAUAUAGUUUGAUUUAAUUGUACCCUACAACAAACUGUUGCUAUUUCGCCUCUCUCCUCGUGAAUCUCACUCGCCUCUCUCGCUUUUUAUACAAACGCAAAUGUAUAAAAUGUGUUUGUGUUUGUAUAAAGUGAGAGAAAAUUGUAUAUAUACAUAUAUUUUCGUUUCCCUCUCUCCGCUUUCCCAGAUCUCGCUCGCCACUCACCCAUAUCUAGCUCGCUAGUCUCUCCCUCGCCUCUCUCGCUUAUACAAACAGAAAUGUAUAUAUUGCGUUUCUGUUUGUAUAAAGCGAGAGAAAAUUGUAUAUACACAUGCAAAUACAUAUAUCUCCGUCCUAUACACUUAUGAUUAUACAAUAUAAAUAUUUCUCUGCCCAGUUUUCUUUUGCCUUUCUCUCUUUCUCACUUUAUACAAACACAAAUUAUACAAUUGAUCUUUUGUAUAUGUAUAACGAAACAGAAAAAGAUUAUAUGCAACUGCUUUCUUUUGUAUAUGUAUAGCGAAAUAUACAUAUUUAUGUUUGCUAUGGAGCGCAAUUAUGCAAACUAUAGCUAUAGCAUACAAAUAUGAUUUUUGUAUUUGUUAUAUGUGAAAGUUAUUCUUAUUUUAAUGCCAACACGAUAUACAUAGGAUAAGGUUGUCAAUAAAUUAUUAUUGCCAAUAUCACCCACAAGUUGAAACCAUUCACAACGUUACAUUGUUCCAUGCCAUUAUUUCAAUCAUCAUUAUUAUUAUAUAGUCCCCGCCUCUUGGAGGGUUUUCAAAAGCCAUAUUUAGGUCAAGCUUUUUAUAUGUUGUACAAAUUAUGAACAUAUGUUGAAAACUAUAAAUAGAACAGGUACUAGUGUUGAACCACAGAGAAAAUAAAAACGCGAAAAAUAGAAAGAGGAGAAGAAUACGUUGAUUUCGAGAAUAAUAAUGAUGAUUCAAAGGUUGAAGAUAUGCAUCGGAAUGGUGAAAUUGGCAUUUGAGUUUGUUGCGGUGUUUGUGAAAGCAGUUGGAAGUGUCAUCUCGGAUGAAGAGGAGAGGAACUACGUUGCUCAAACGCCAUACAUCGGCCUUCUUCCAUAAUUUUUGUCAUUUCAUUUAUUUACUGGUCCAACUUAUUCAGAUUUCAUAGAUAUAUGAUAACCGUAGUUUAGCUUUUUUUCUCCAUCGUGAGGCUUCAUGUAAAAAAGAGCUUUCUUUGGGAGAGAGAGAGAGAGAGGUGUUAGAGGUUAUUAGUUCCUUUUCCUUUUCUCUGUUGUAAUUUUUGUCUAGUCUGGUCUAACAGUAGUCCUUUUGACUUGUUCCCGGCCUUCAGGAUAUAACAGUCUAAUCAUAAAGUGUAACUCAAUAAAUUCUGGACAAAAGUUGAGUCCAAAACUCCACAAAAAGAACACCUCCCUCCACUUAAUAAAAACUCUCUUUUUGACUAACUUUAUGCACUAUAUAUUUUCUGUGUGUAAAACAAAUGAAGACCACAACUAUUUAUAGUAGAGGAAGUCUUUCUAGUAAUGAAUAGGAUGAUAAUGAGAUAGUAAAUAGUAAAGAUAAAAAACCUUGAGGUCAGGGGCGGACCCACAUGCAUCCGUGAGGGUGCACGUGCAUCCGGUAACUUUUAAAAAAAAAUUGUAUAUAUAUAUAUAUGUAUAGACAGUUGAUAAAACGAUAAUAUAUUUAAUUGUGCUCCCUAACAACCAAAAAUUUCUAUUGGUGCACUGGUUGUAGUUGCCAACUCGCUGCGCGCCGAAGUUAACCUUUUAUUAACUUUAAAUUCAUCUUUUUCUCUUAAAAUAAACCUUUUUAAAAAUUUCUUUUAUUAAAACUCGUUUUUGCUACCUCAUCUGGCCCCAUCCCCUUUCUUAACCACUCUUUUUUGGCAUCCGGUCCCGUUCCUUUCUUAAUUGAAUUUAAAAAUAAAUAAAAGCUCUAGCACAAUUCUAAACAAAAUAUAAGACUAAUUUUACCUAGCACAAUUCUAAACAAAAUAUAAGACUAAUUUUAAAUCUACAACUUACAAGUAUUCUUCAUUGCAUAAUUGAACUCCUACUUCUAUUAUCUCUGCGUAAAUUGGUAAGUUCUUCUUUUUAAGCAUAUUUUUUUUCACUAAUUUGUUGUUGAUUCUUGUGGUUUGAGAUGGAUAGAUUUUUUACGAAACAUAAUUCUUCUCAACCAAGUGCUAGUUUUAGAGACAAUUCUUCGCAUUUUAUAGAUGAGUUUUAUUAAUAUGAAGAUUUGAGUUGUUUAUUCAAAGUUCUAAAAUAUUUUUGAUAAAAAGUAGAUAGAUCUUUGUUUUUUUAAAAUUAUAAUGUUCAAUAUUGAUUUAAGUGAAAUAAAAUAAUAAAUUCACUAUUAAAAUUUAUUGGGGCCUCAAAUUUUUGGAGGCCUAAGAAGGCUUUGCUAAAUGCUAACGUUACUCUUGUGUCACUCCUAGCCUUACCCUUGAGUCACUCUUAGUAGUGCCCUCCCUAUCUUUAAAUUCUGGAUUCGUCUCUUGAGGUUACAUAAGUUACGAUGAAUAAAGAGGAAUGAAGAGUGAAAUAAUGUUAAUAACUAAUGUCAACAACGGACAACAAAUAUAUAUAUGCUGCCCAUGACCAGUCCACCAACGUUUAUUUCCACCAAAAUAAUGAGCAAUUAAGCCCAAAUACCCUUGAGUCACUCUUAGUAGUGCCCUCCCUAUCUUUAAAUUCUGGAUUCGUCUCUCUUGAGGUUACAUAAGUUACGAUGAAUAAAGAGGAAUGAAGAGUGAAAUAAUGUUAAUAACUAAUGUCAACAACGGACAACAAAUAUAUAUAUGCUGCCCAUGACCAGUCCACCAACGUUUAUUUCCACCAAAAUAAUGAGCAAUUAAGCCCAAAUACCCUUGAGUCACUCUUAGUAGUGCCCUCCCUAUCUUUAAAUUCUGGAUUCGUCUCUCUUGAGGUUACAUAAGUUACGAUGAAUAAAGAGGAAUGAAGAGUGAAAUAAUGUUAAUAACUAAUGUCAACAACGGACAACAAAUAUAUAUAUGCUGCCCAUGACCAGUCCACCAACGUUUAUUUCCACCAAAAUAAUGAGCAAUUAAGCCCAAAUGAAAUGCACAUAAAGAGAGGAUAGUAAUGCCACAUAUGUCACUUAAAACAAUAUGUAAGAAACUGCCACUAACGGAUGGCUAUGCAAAUGAUGGAUUUUAUUAAUUUAAAAUGCUAAGUAACCAACAUUUAGUUAUUUUAAUUUAAUGUGAUUCCUUCAAGCUUCUUGUUAUAAGAUUGCAAUUAGUGCCAGCAAAAUAGCCCAUUUUGGUAACCCACUCAACUCGCUCAUAUUUAAUGAAUUAGGUGAGUGACUUUUUACAUGGAUAAAAUAUGGAUUGAUACUCAUAUUCAAUAUGGGUAAAAUAUGGGUAAAAUAUGGGUAAUAUGGGUAAAAUAUGAAUUAACCAAAUGAGUUAAGCUUCUAACUUUUAUUCACUCAAAACUCAUGAUAUUACCAAAUAUAUUGUAACUUCUCUUCCUUUUUAUGUUCUUUUAUAAAACUAAUUAUUUUUCUCUAUAAUUGAAAAUGUGAAGUCUUUGGCCCUCAAAAAAUAUCUAUUUUAAAUGUACAUUUCUUUUGUUAAUUCUAAUUAUAUUUUAUUUAUUUAUUUAAUUUUAUAUUGGAUAAUAAAUAAUAACAUAAACUAAGCAAAUCAUGUACUAGUAUUGACAUUAUAUUGCUUAAAGUGUAUUAAGCAUGUUUUAGGGUGUGUUUGCUAUGAAGGAAAACAUUUUCACCCUUACCCUCGACCCCCUCCCCCACCCAUCCCUUACCAUCCCCAAAAAAUAAUUUUAAGUUUAUUUUUAAAAAAUAUUUUGAACUUCAAAAUUUCAUUUUUUCACCCCUACCCUCGACGCCCCACCCCCAAAAAAAUAUUUUAAGAUUGUUUUUAAAAAAUAUUUUCAAUUUCAAAAAUUAUUUUCUACUCUAGUAAAAAUAAAAGAUAUUUCUCAAAAAUAUUUUUCCUUCAUAAACCAAACACUACAAAUCUUUUCCGAAAAAUAUUUUCUACUCACCAACCAAACAUGAGAAAAUAAAUAAAAAAUUUACUUGUUUUCCAGGAAAACACAAAUUUAUUUUAUAUUGAAAAGUUAUAGGAUUUUAUUUUUUACUUUUAUGAUACAAUAAAACUAAUGAAGCAUUUUCAACAUAUUUCAUCUAAAAAAAGACUAAAAUAUUUUCUCCAUGUUGAAUUCUUAAGUAGAGUACUAUUUACUCAUGAAAAUAUGGGUAAAACAUGGGUAAACUAGUAUUUUAUCCAACCCAUUUGUUACCCAAUUCAUUUUUACCCAUAUCAAAUAUGGGCAUGUUGAAUUAUUACCCAUUUUAUGUUGACCCAUUUUCAACCCGUCCAAAUUUGACCCAAUCCGCUCAUUUGCCAAAACUAAUUGCAACGUAGCUAAAUAAUUAUACUAUUAUCGGUUCCGUAGUUUAUACAUAGUGGUUCUUAUUUUCUUUAUGUAAAAUAAUGAAAGUGGUCAAAUAUCGUUAGAUUUUCAAUGUUUAAUUAGUAUAUUCUCAAUUUGCUAAAAAUUUUAUUGAUACAUGCAUUUGGAGAUUAUUAAGCACUACAAUACUACAGUCAACGCCAACAUCUUAACGUGUCAAAUUUAUUUUUAUUUGAAAAUUAGUAAAUAUAAAAAUAAGUAAAUAAAUAAAUACAACUACAUUACCCUAUUUUAAAAAAUAUAUAUUUACAUUUAUUUAUUGUAGAAACGAUUUGUUUGAUGAAGCCCACUCUAAAAGUUAGUGCCGGUAAUAGUAAUUAAACUUUGUCAUAUUGUGUUAUACUCGUAGAGCAUUUUCCCUAACAAUAUGCACAUAUUAGGCAGGCUUGUGGACAUACAGUGUUUGCAAAUAUUAAUUAUUUAUAAAUAUUAAAAUAAAAUAUCUAUUGUGAAUCAAUGUUUGUUUCACAGUAUUGUCAAUUAUUUCAACUUCAAAUUAAAAUAUAUAGAAAUUUCGAAGUCAUUUCAAAUUUGUUUGCAAAAUAUUUUAAGUGAAAUAAUAAUUUUCAGUAGCAACACUUUUUCGUUUAAGUAAAUUCAUAUCUUAACAUAAUACUUUCUCAAUUUCAAUUGCAAAUACUUUUUUUUUUUUAAUUUCAACUAAAUAUUCUCUAAACAGCUAACGAAAUUCUAACUUUCCCUCAAAGUUGUAGACUAAACAAAAGUUCGAUGAAACAAUUUUCCUUACUAACACGAGUUGAUUCCUUAAAUAGACACUCAAAUUAAUGAAAUUAUAUAGUAAAGUCACAUUUUAACUAAAUAGAGUCUCUCAAAAAAAUUACUAUGGCUAGAAGUUCACAGGGGCAAGCCAAAAUCUGAUCAGUCUAAAAGGAAUUGAAAUAUUUUAUCGAAGAGGCACAACCAACAAUAAUUAUUUGAGAUUUCAUUAUUUAUUUUUUUGACACUUGAACAGUGGGCCUAUUUUCUUAUUUUUUACGUGUUGUUCAUCACUUCUCUUGUAUUCACUCCUCUUUUUUUUUUUUUUUACUAUUAACAAAUGUCCAAUUCUCAAUACAUAAUUAAAUAAUUAAUACAUUUGAUUUAAAAAUACAAAUAAACACAUUUUCUGUUAAAAUGACUUAAACACUUAAAACUGCUAACAUUACAAAUAAGUUUAUUGUCAAUAUCUUUCAAUAGAGUCAAAUAAACUCAAAAUACAAAUUAAUUUACUUUAGCAUAUAACCUGAUUAGAUAAGAUUAAUUUUUUUUGUUCUGAUUUUGUUUUUAAAUUAUAGAUACUUUUUUUCCAGCAUAACCAUAUUUAAAAAUAGGAUUGACAACGGGCAGAACGUACAGGUCAGGGGACGACAUAUUCACUUUUUAAAAAAAUUUAAAUGGGCUGAGGCAGGUCACAACGCGGAAUUUAAGUCUUUUGUAUUAAAACUUAAAAUGCUUAAUUUAUUCUUCAAAAAUUAAUCAGUUCCAUACAAAUUCUAUUAUUAUUAUUAGAAAAAAUUACUUAUACACACCAUUUAUUAUCAUAUUUUCCCUACCAUUUUAAAAAAUAUAAAAAAUCCCUUAUUUUCCUUCCAUCAUCCCCUUUUCCGAUGUUUUCCAAUUUUCUCAUGUUUGGUUGGGUUAAAUGUUUUGGAAAAUGUUUUCCAAAUCAACUUAUUUUCCUCAAAUUUAAGGAAAAUGACUUCCUUUCAAAAUUUAAGGAAAACAUUUUCCAAAACUCUCUUCCAACUUUCAAUUAAAAAAAAAUUGUUCAAAAAUCAAUUUAUUGGUCCCUACCCUCAAACCAGCCCCCCCCAACCACCCCCAAAAAAAAUAAUAAUUUAAAGUUUGUUUUUAAAUUCAAUAUUUUUACCCCAUCCUCACCCCUACCCCCCCCCNNNNNNNNNNNNNNNNNNNNNNNNNNNNNNNNNNNNNNNNNNNNNNNNNNNNNNNNNNNNNNNNNNNNNNNNNNNNNNNNNNNNNNNNNNNNNNNNNNNNNNNNNNNNNNNNNNNNNNNNNNNNNNNNNNNNNNNNNNNNNNNNNNNNNNNNNNNNNNNNNNNNNNNNNNNNNNNNNNNNNNNNNNNNNNNNNNNNNNNNNNNNNNNNNNNNNNNNNNNNNNNNNNNNNNNNNNNNNNNNNNNNNNNNNNNNNNNNNNNNNNNNNNNNNNNNNNNNNNNNNNNNNNNNNNNNNNNNNNNNNNNNNNNNNNNNNNNNNNNNNNNNCCCCCACCCCCCACCCCACCCCCAAAAAAAAUUAAGUUUGUUUUUAAAAAAUAUUUUCAAUUUCAACAAUUAUUUUCUACUCUAGUAAAAAUAAAAGAAAUUUUUCAAAAACAUUUUUCAUUCAUAAAUCAAACACUAAAAAUCUUUUUCGGAAAAUAUUUUCUACUCACCAACCAAACAUGAGAAAAUAAGUCAAAAAUCAACUUGUUUUCUAAGAAAACAUUUUCCAUGGAAUGUAAUGUAAGUUAUAUUUUAUUUGAGUCCAUUUCAUUAAGCAAGUACUACUUGAUAAAUCCAAAUAUUCUGAAGGCAUUUACAAAAUACUCUUGGUUUUGUAUUCUAAUGAGUAAUAUAAUUUCUUUGUUCUCAUAUGUUAUUAGAGAAUGUUGAUACAUCAAUUUAGAUUUCGAGCACCAAUUUCGUUACUUAUAUAAGCCAUCUCUUCUUAUAUUUGAUUUGCUGAUAUUGUAGAUAUAUAGAUGAAAGAACACACACAUCUAGGUGUUGUAAGCUGGAGUUUUGUUGAUUUGAUCUAACUAACAGAAAAAAGGGGAUCCUAUCGGAGCAGCCAUGGUACUGCAAAAUUGGUAAGGAUCGUUGCUAUUACUGCUACUUCGGGAGGAGUCAUAUGUUCUCAGUUUAUUUAGUAGUGCAAAAAUUGAUAAGUUACUUGAGCUAUUAUUAUAUUGUCGCAAUUGGAUUACGUUUAUCGUUUUGUUCCAUUUGAAUUUCAUAUUUGCCCUUGACCAGGAACUAUCGAGGCAUUAUUUUGUUAGUAGAACUACUAAUAAAGAACCAUUUUACUUAAUAGAAAAUAUUUUGUUGCCAUUGGAACUUGACCGAGUUGGAAACCAGUUUUAACAAAUUAGUAAUAUGCUUUCUAUCUUACUGCGGUGAGUUGUUAUAUCGUUGGACAUUAACAAUUUUGAAAUUUAGAUUUUAAAGACGGUGAAACUGACGAACACACGCUUCUGCUCAAGUAUAAGUAUCUGUUAGUUCUCUGUCAUUGUUGUUUUAGAACUUUUUCUACUUUAUGUGUGAUAUUUUAAAACUGAUUCAGCCUAUACUUCAAAAUUUUAUGUACUUUGGUCUCAAUAUUGCAUCUUACAAAUUUCUACUGUAGUUUAGAGCAAUGCUUGUAGAAUUUAUAGAUUUUUUUCUACAAUAUAGUCAUUCAUGUAAAUAAAUAAUUUGGAAUGUGGUGAUUUCUCCUGCAGUAUCAUCAUUCAUGUAAAUGCUUUGUACUUCUUGCUUUGGUGAUUCCUCCCUGUUCCUUCAAAAAGAGAACAAAAAGCGGAAUGACAUGAGAGAUUUUGAAAGUCUCUUUAUAUGGCAAAAUUCUAAGCUCUACUACAGCUUGGAUGGAUACCUCCAUUCGAGAAUAGAUCAUAGUGUAAGUAUGUUACUUUCAAGUCCAUUUUUUACCGUUAAUACAAAAUUUCUUGCCUGCAAUAGAAACCACUGUGAGGAUAUCUAUACGUAGUUUCAAAUCCGUGUCACAGAUAAAUUUAACAUUGCUUGUAAUUCGAUCCGUGAGAUAUUGGGUUGUUGCUAACCUACCCAAAUCCAAGUUAUUGUGUACAUUAUAGACAAAUAAAAGGUAACUGAUUAUUCCACUAUUCAAUAAUCUAUAUCCAAGUUAUUAGGAUUUGUUGCUAACCUACCCAAAUCCUAAUAAUCUAUAUCCUCCUGAAAGAAAAGAGUAAGAAAUAAAGACACAAGAAAAUGCAUAUAGCUAAAUUCUUUAUAUCUUGCCAAGAUAUUAGUUUAUGGUGUCUUAAAACUCAGUAUCUAAACAAUAUCAUACAAAGCAAAAUACAAAUAAAUAGGUACAAAUGCACAUACACAGUAAACAACAGAACAUCAACAAAGAGUAGAAAAUUAAUCUCAUAAACUGGAAAUGAAAGACAAAAGACAAUACCAUGUUAUUGACCUAAAAAGUAUUACUUGUAAUUGGCUUAGAGCUUUUAGGCAAUGUUGCUUCAAUACUUGACAUGCAUAUCAAAUGAUCUUUGAAAUUAUGCAACAUAUCUCCAUUUGGUGGACAUCCAAGUUGACAAAGUGAAUAUGAAUCUACACUUCAAAAAGUUAUUUCUCACUCUUUGAUGAACAUAGGAAAAUUAGUACACCACAAAAUGCCAUAAAUUCAUAAAUCUGUGUCAAAUUGCAAUAGAAAAAGCAACCUAAUAGAUGAUUACAACAACCUGAGAUAUUGUUAAACUCAAAUAUCUUCCAAAAUGUACUAGACUAUACUAGAGCUUCUGGAAUAUGCUUCUUUUAAGUUUUUUCCUUAACAUGUAAGAUACUUCAUUUGCAAUCUAAACAUUAGUAGAACAUGUUAACCAAAUAGAGAAUCCUCACAGUCAUAGGUCUCCUUAGCAAAUAAUCCUAAUGUCUCAUUUUGGCCUUUAGUUUUGUUAUACCUGAUGAAAUAUUUACUGAAAUAUACAGGUCGGGUUCUUUGUUCUCUCUUAUUUAUGAUUGUCGAGUCAUCAUUAUGCAUUGUUUUAUUAACUUGCUCUAUCUUAGGAUAAUUUUCAGUUAUUACUUCAGGCUUCUUUAUUAUGUUUAUGAAUCUUUCUUUGUUUUUGUGUUUGUUCUUGAUAAAUUAAGUUUAUUGGGAUUUCUGGAGAGAAUUACACUCUUAUUAUGCUCAUGAUAGCUCUUUUGUUAUUAUGUUCCUUAAUUGUCUUGCUGGAAGUUUGCCACGAUAACAAUCCUUUGAGUUUUAUACCCUGACCGCCUGAUGCCAUCUCAAUUAUUUUUGAAAGAGAAUUAACCUAUAUUAAGAAGUCUAGAACAUGUGGUUUGAAUCAAAGGCACAUAAGAAAAGUCACAUUACCAAUACAAGAGUUAUCUUAUUAGUUGAGUUAUUGAUACCUUUAUUUAUUAAGAAUAUAGAUAUUUUUGAUGAAUGGAAAGCUUUUAGAAGAAAAGCAACUCUUCAGUCAAGAUUAUUACCAAAAGAACAAGGAGGAGUGCAUCCACAAAUUCAUGAUACAAGAUCGUUGUGGAAGUUCACAACUUUGCUGUUCUGUAUGUCUGUAAUGACAUGGAUGAACAUGAUUAUCCCUUUGUGUGCGAGUCUCUGCAACUCACAAGAAAAUUAUGAUCAAUCCUUGAUCUAUAUGCAAGAACUACUUUAGUCAAUUUUGUUAAUUAAACCUUUCACGAAAGAUAAUUCAAUUUCUUACUUGCUGAUUUUUCCUUCUGGUUCAUUUGGAUUUUUAAGUGUCGAAUGAAAACAUAUCUCUAUUUGAUAGAGGCAAUCAAGAUGUGGGACUAUACUGGAUAUGUUAUUGUUGACAGAGGUGAUCAAGUUGAAAAGUGAACAUAUUGGUAGAGCUUUUUUCUAAAAAUAAUAGAUGUAAGUUUUCCCCCAACAAUUUCAUAACUAUUAUUUUUGUUUGUUCCUUUGCUGUUAGAUUUGUGUGCUGUUUAUCGAAUUACAUAAACUUGAUUGUACUUAUUUUUUUGGAUCAGGUGUUUGUACUUUGUUCAUUAGAAAUUGCAGGUAUCAAUCUCAAGUGUGGUUGCACUUCUAUCCACAUGUAAGUGUUGUCUCAUUUGUUAUCUAGAAAUUUGACUUGCAUAGACAAAUUAUUGGUAUUACCACUUUAUAAUUGAUUCGAUUGUUGCUUAUGAUGUUAAUAUUUACAUGUAUUGCUAUAUUCAUUAAAAUUUAUGUCUGGAAAUAGUGGCAGACAAAGCAUAAGCUUGAUGGGUUCAAUUGUGUCGAUUAUCUUCGACCCGAUACAUGACCCAUAUGUGAUUUAAAGAGAGUAAUGUUUUCCGUUGUAAGAACCUAAAGGAUGAAUCUAUGAAAUUUAAACAUUGAAUCCUCUUCUUGUGAAGGCAAUCUUAACCAAUACUUUUCAGUGUGUAGUAGAGAUUACUCCUUACUAGGUGGUUACCAUUUGAGAAUUUUGGUUGGCCUUUUCCUGAAAUUUUAGUGUCAUAUAUAUGAGAUAUGCUAGAGUGAACCUUCAAAACUUCAUAAUUGAAAUUCAUUGUUUUUCCAAGUGUGAUUCCAUCUAUUCUACAAGUUAGCAGACAAUUACAAAAUGAAAAAGAAGAGGGUUAUCAUCAAAGUAAUUCAUAAUUUUUCUGUUUAUCUUAGAACUGCUGAAAAUUUGAGUAAACAUUCAACUGUUAGUACUAUACCCUCCUUUGGAUUGUUAAUAUAGUAGUUCCGACUACUGAGCUUGAAUUGGGUUGCCUCUCUAAUCGAGAUCGUAGUCCUCAAGCACCACUAAGAGAGGCAACCCAAUACAAGCUCUAUCUAAGAUCCUUAUGAUCGGAUGAAUAAUUUUAUCAGUCAUUGUUUAAGUUAUUUUGUUCCAAUGAAGAUAUUCUUAUAAGUAAACUUUUAUGUACUUAUUUGGCAUACUUCUACAUCAACACAUCUUUAAAUGCUUAUAAUUGUGUUGCAACUUUAUCGAGCUUUUGUAAUAUCAGGUCAUUAUUUUUCAUGUGCUACUUUUUCAUUUUUCUUUUAAUUGAACUCCUAUCUUGCACCUCCAAAUGAUGAUGUAAAGAUCCACCAUUAAAAAUAUAAAAUGUUGGGCCCGUGCUAAGCACGGGCCAUGCCCUUCUAGUAUAUAUAUAUGCUAAAAAAUAUAAAAUGUGUAGCUUUCCCCUUUCUUUUUUUUUAGUCAUUUUCUUGAAUUUUUUCUUUCUAGGUGCUACAAAUGAAGCAUUAUAUUAAUCCCCACGGCCCUCACCUUAGUUAAUGUAAGUAAUAUAUGUAAAAAGAUUCUAAGAUCAAAUUGUCUAAAAAAAAACAACCUCAAAGCACUUCCAAGUUGCAACCUUUGAAGAGACAUAGUAUAUCUAGAUCGAAAUAUUGCCUCCUCACCCAAAAAAAAAAAAAAAAAAACUUAAACAAUGCCAACGUGUAGCUAGUUUAAAAGUUCAGAUUUGGUGAAAAUUAAUCACUAAGCUUGUCAGCUAGCUAACUCAAUCAAUUAGAAUUUUCUACUAAACCAAUGAUCAGAGAAUAUGAACUUUAAUUAGUUUCGACAAAUAUCAAAUUUUGGACAAGUGAUUGCAAGAGUGCAAUGCGUACGUCGAUACAACUAAGAACAUAAAUUUUUAACUCAUCAAAUUAAAAUUCUAAAUCGCCUCUCUCUCUCUCUCUCUAUAUAUAUAUAUAUAUAUAAAUAAUGCUACGUUGGUUUAUUACAUAUCUUUAUUUAUUAAUUUUAUUGCCAACAUGCAUGAUAUAUAGAUGGAUAGGGUUGUGUGCAGGGGCGGCUCAACAUUAUUGGAGGCCUAGAAUAUAAAAAAACUUUAUAUUUAUAUUUAUUCAAAAAUUAUUUUUCUUACACUAUUUAGAUGAAAAUUAGUAUUUAAUAUUAUUUUUUCAGCUAUUAGUUUUAGAUAAGAUUUUAUCAAUUCAACAUUGAAAAACAUCUUUCAGUGAGGCAAUUAUUAUAUGAAUUGUUAACAUAAUUCUAUAAGUAAUAAGUUGACAAAUAUUAAAUAAAGAUAAGAGUUAGAAUCAUAGAAUUUGACUCAAAAAGUUGAUGACUUGGUAUAUCCCAUUUUAAUAUGUUUGUAGUAAUGUUUGAAACUAAAUUUAAAAGAAAUAAAAAAGAAUUUCUAAUUCACUUCGUUCAACACUUUUCAUUAUUAAUUGUUAUUUUUAACAAAGUACAAAAAAGGUUAAAUGGGUAAAAUAAUAUAUAUUUUUUAAAAUAUACUUUUUAUCAUAAAUAAUUAAUUUUUUCUAUAAAAAAUUUAAUACCUAAUUUAUUCUUGAUAAAAAUUUGAGAGCCUAAAGCAAAAGCCUUAUUUCCCAAAGCAUAGAUCCGCCCUGGCUGUGUGAAUAAUAAUAGUAAAGGGUCUCGAUCACAUUCAUCGACUAGUUAAACCAUUCAAAUCUCAUCAGUCAUCUCUCAUCAAUCUAUCUUCCAAAAUUGUCCUUUAUAUGUAUAUUAAAAUAAUUGCUCUUUUGACCCUUAACAUAUUAGAAUAAUUGCAUUUUGAUCCCUUAAUUUUAUAUGAGUAAAUGAUUUUGAUCUCUAUCAUAUUAAUUUAUUUGAGUAAGUACACUGCACAUCCAAAAUUUAAUAGUUUUGGUCUCUUCAUAGAUAAAUAUGUGAUAUUUGAACUGUAUUUACUACUAAAAAAAGAUUAAAAGCUCAUCGCUAUUUCGCUCGUAGCUAAUAAAAAUAAGUCACUAAAUAGAAUUAGCUAUGAACUUCAUCGCUAAAUCACUUGUAGCUAAUAAAAAAUUGUCGCUAAAUAGAAUUAACAAUGCUAUUUUAGCUAUAAAAUUGCUAAAUCCUAUUUUUUAGUAGUGAUCGAUCACCUUCAAAUAUAGAGCAUAACACGUUGGUAAUUCAACAGUUUAGCACAAGUAAAUGGAUUUAAAGCUACUCAUUUAUCCAAAAAUUAUGAGGACCACAAUUAAAAUUUGUUACUAAACAUUCAAGGGACUAAAAGUGAAAAAAAUUCCUAUGUAUGAUUUGAGAGAGAAAUAUAAAGUUGUUCCAUGUCACUACUAUUGUACUAUAGACUAUCUGUCUUUUGGGUGAUUCCAAAAGCCAAAUUUAAGUGAGGAUUUAUUUGUUCUUCAAGUCAUGGUUGUGUAAUUUUUGGAAACUAUAAAUAGAACAGAUACUGGAAUUAGACAAAAGAGAAAAUAAAUAAAGACGCGGAAAAUAGAAAAAGGAGAAGAAAAAGAAAAAUACAUUAAUGGUGAUUCAAAGGUUAGAAAUGUGCAUUGAAAUGGUGAAAUUGGUGUUUGAGUUUUUUGUUGUGUUUGUAGAAGCUGUGGGUACUGUUAUCUCACAAAAUGAUUCAUCUCUAAUCGACAGGAACUAUGAUGCCACAACUCCCUACAUCGGCCUUCUUCCAUGAAACCAAUUCAGUAUAUAUUCGAGAUUUAUUGGUCCGACUAAAAGUUAUUAAUGCAUGAAAAAGAGCAAUGACGUACAACUGCGUUUUAGUUCCUUCCUUCCUUUUUUUUUUUUAUACUUUUAAAUAAAUUAUUUAUAUUUAAUGUAAUUUGUUGUGAAUUUAUUAAUAUUUAUUGUAUUUCUCUUUUGCAUAUACGGCAAGAAAUAUUAGCUACUGAUUUUUAAAAUUUUCAUUUCACUCUUAUUUAUAUCGUAAGAUAUAAAUUUUGUUCAAUUAGAUAUAUUUACUUUAUUAUCAAACGGGUGAUUUACUCUUCGACUACGGAUCCCAUACUACCCCAUAAACCGAAAAUUCAUAACCCCAAUUGCUACGAGAAUGCCGUUUAGUUGGCCGAUAUGUUUGUAGUCAACAAUUACCUGUAAGGAUAAGAUAGAAAAAUAAAUAAAUUAUUUUAAACUUUUAAAAUGAUAAAUAAUUUAAGGUAUUUAUUUAAAGAAAAUUACGAUUGAUAAUUUGUGACAGAGAAAGUAGUUAACAAACAUUAUAAAUAGAUGGACAUGAUUAAGAUUUUUUAAUUUUUUACCAAAAAAAUAAUAAGACUUCUUUUAUUUCUUAUAAUUAGCUUCUGUCCACAAAAAACUUGAACAUGUGAUCUGCAUGUUGCCAAUUGCCUUGUUUUUAUUUAUUUAUUUAUUUUUAUUUUAUUAUUAUUAUUAUUAUUAUUAUUAUUAUUAUUAUUAUUAUUAUUAUUAUUAUUAUUAUUAUUAUUAUUAUUAUUAUUAUUAUUAUUAUUAUUAUUAUUAUUAUUAUUAUUAUUAUUAUUAUUAUUAUUAUUAUUAUUAUUAUUAUUAUUAUUAUUAUUAUUAUUAUUAUUAUUAUUAUUAUUAUUAUUAUUAUUAUUAUUAUUAUUAUUAUUAUUAUUAUUAUUAUUAUUAUUAUUAUUAUUAUUAUUAUUAUUAUUAUUAUUAUUAUUAUUAUUAUUAUUAUUAUUAUUAUUAUUAUUAUUAUUAUUAUUAUUAUUAUUAUUAUUAUUAUUAUUAUUAUUAUUAUUAUUAUUAUUAUUAUUAUUAUUAUUAUUAUUAUUAUUAUUAUUAUUAUUAUUAUUAUUAUUAUUAUUAUUAUUAUUAUUAUUAUUAUUAUUAUUAUUAUUAUUAUUAUUAUUAUUAUUAUUAUUAUUAUUAUUAUUAUUAUUAUUAUUAUUAUUAUUAUUAUUAUUAUUAUUAUUAUUAUUAUUAUUAUUAUUAUUAUUAUUAUUAUUAUUAUUAUAAUUAUUAUAUCUUUUUCCAUUUCAUAUCUAUUUUCUGCAUAGUGUAGUUGACUCAAUUUAUGUAUUCCCCUCGGAGGUUGGUGAUAUUUUUCAAUAAGUCCCUUUCCAAAUAAUUUUUAAUAUUUAUUUCUUUUCUUCCCUUUCCCCCUAUAACAUUGAUGAUUGAACUUGAUCUAGACUUUCGACCACAUUCAAAUAUCCAACGUUUUACCAUUAAAUUUCUUUAUUUUCUUGAUUGUGCAGAUAUAAUCUCUUAUUGUAAGUUGAUAUGUAAAAGAAAUUACAUAUGUUUAUAACUUAGAAAUAAUUUUUAAUAGUGUUUUAGAAAAAUUAUAUUGGCUUAUCCAACUUAUGCCCUCUCAUCUUCUUCCACCCGAAACAUUCACAGUCAAAAUAAAUCAUAUCCAUUCACCAAUAAUCACUAUUUACAAAAAAAAAAAUGAUAACAAUCAAUUUUUAUAGCUAAAUAAUAAAAUUUAUUAGUAAUGAAUUAAUUAAUAGCAAUAAAAUAUCAUAAAAUUUUGUUAGAUUCGAAUAAUUUAGCGAUAAAAUAGUUAACUGUAUUUACUCAUUUGCUGCAAACAGCAAAAGACGGGCCUAGCUAGGAAUAAGGAACGUACCUCAUAAAGCACAGUGUCAGAAAAAUAAUAUAAUCCCAAGUUGUCUUUUAUUUCAAAUACUAUUAUAAGUCGAGUCCUACCUCGUCUGGUGUUUCCCAGACAAAUAAAAUUUUGUAAUUAUAUAACAAAUAUUUCACGCUAAUCUUAUAUUUAGCUAUUACUAUAAUAAAAAUAAUGUUGCUAAAAACUCUAAGGACAUUUAUAAAAAAUAUUAAUUGCUACUAAAGAUAUAUAUUUAAUGACAAUUAAGUUAUUGUCGUUGAUUAAGUGCUUCUAAAUAUCAUUUUUGAUGUAGUGUAUAAAUUAGCAAUGGAUUAAAAGAAAAUUCAAUUAGUUAGGAAUUCUUUUAGCAACGAAUUAACGAUUAAUUACCGAUAAUUCCACAUUACAGUAAAAAGAUUCAAUAAAGUAACCAAUUAUCGGUCGGCUUCUCUAAAUUUAAUUAAUGGGAAGUGCAAUUAAUUUGGAUAUGUCUUGAACAUGCUUAGUUUGGUGUGCAAGGACAUGAAGUAUUAUAUAAAUCUCUAUUGUCCCUUUCAUUAAUCUUAAUCAACAAGCAGUGCUAAUCUAAAAAAGAUUCUAAGGAUCAAAUAAAAUUGCGUCAAAGCACUUGCAACCUCUGAAGAGACAUACUAUAGUAUAAUAUCCAGAACGAAUUAGUGUCUCUUCACCAAAAAUAACUUAAACUAAUGCCAACAUGAUAUAGUAAAUUCUAAUUAAAAGUUCAGAUUAAUUAAGUAAAAAUUAAUCAAUAUGCUUGUCAACUACCUAACUCAAUCAUUCAGAAUCUUCUACUAAUCCAAUUGUUCAGAGGUACAUGUUACUUUAGUUUCAAUUGAAUACAAUAUUUAUAUACAAAUAAUGAUUAUAAACAUAUACGUGAAUAACUGUAACUAGUUCAUCGAUAAAAAUACUAAAAUCUUCAAAUUUAACUCUUGAAGAUAAGCCUCUAUGGGAGUGGGAGACAGUCCUACGGACAAGCAUCUAUGACAACAUUUAAUUGUCCAAACUUAAAACUAACAAUCAAUUUCAUUAUUUAACGUAGAUCACUGUUGAAUGUUAAUAUAUAUAUACGACAUUUUUUUUUCCUUUCUAAUAUAUAUAUUAAAAAAAGCCCUUUUAAUGCUAAUUGUUGAUUUAUAAUUAUAUAUCGUUAAUUCAAUGCCAACACGAUACAUGGAUAAGGUUGUCAAUGUAUAAAAAUAAUAAUAGAAAAGGGUCUCAAUCUCAUUCAUAUCUGCAAGUUGAAACCAUUCACAUCUAAUCUCUCCUCAAUCUAUUUACAUAUAUAUUAGAAUAAUUGCACUUUGAUCCCUUGCUCGUUUGGUUUUGGAGAAUAAGUUAUUUUGAGAUUAAUUAUUUUUGGAUCAGUUAUUUCAAAAUUGUUAGUAUAUCCUUAAUUAAUAUGUGAUAAAUAUAAUAUUACAAUUCUAGGAUAACUAAUCUCGGAAUAAAUUAUCUCACGACUUUAUUCAAAUCAAACAUGAGAUAAACUCAUCCUAAAAUUAAUCGUGAGAUUAAUUAUUUCUUAUCUCUUAUAUCAAAUGAGCUUUAAUAUAUUCAAAUUGCACCUUUUAUGCCUUAAUUGUUGAACAUAUUCAAAGCACACCCCUAACUUACUAAAAUGUACUUUUUGGUCCCAUGAUAGAAAAUAUAUGUAUUUAAACUUUUUCUAGAGUUUAUAUUAUCUUCAAAUCUGGAGUAACAAUAUAAAUUUAGCAUGCAUAACACAUCAGUAAUUUCAUGAUUUAACACUUAAAAGUUCAUGAAAUUUGUGAAGAUGCACAAGUAAAUGAAUCAAAAAGUACACAUUUUAACUAAAUAAAAGUUAAAUACGCUUAACCAGGAACUACAAGGACCAAAAUCAAAACAUAUUAAUUAUUUAAGGAACAAAAUGUGAAAAAUUUCCUAUGUAAUAAUUUGAGUGUGAGAGAAGAGAAAAACAAAAUCGAUGGUUGUUCCAUGUCAUUAUUGCUACAAUUAUUAUUUAAUUUUAUAUUCCCCGACUCUUGGGGGUUUCCAAAAGCCAUAUUUUGCUAAUAUCUUGUACGAAUAUAAUCAUCGUUGUAUCUUUGGAAACUAUAAAUAGAACAGCACGUACAUCUUAUAAUUGAACGAAAGAGAUAGCGAAAACGCGGAAAAUAGAAAGAGGAGAGAAGAAUAAUAUACAUACAUUCGAUCGAGAAUAUAAUUAUAUUUAUGGUGAUUCAAAGGUUGGAAAUGUGUAUAGGAAUUAUGGAAUUGGUGUUUGAGUUCAUUAUUGUUUUUAUUGAAGCUGUUGGUACUGUUUUCUCACAAAAUCAUUCAUCUCCCGCUGAAAGGAACUAUGUUGCUGCAGUCCCCUACAUCGGCCUUCUUCCAUAAAAUGAUCGAAUAUAUUUGAGAUUUACUGGUCCGACUAUAGUAGUUAAUGCAUGGAAUUGAAGGAGCAUGAUAAUAAUUACAUUUUUAGUUUUUUUUUUUUCUCUCACUGAGAGAAGUCUUUGUAAAGUAUAAAAUCAGAUUCAGAAGAGCUUCCUUGGGAGAGAUUAGGUGUUAGAGUCUAUAGUUUCAUUGUUUUUUUUGUUUAUAAUUUUUGGUUAAUUAAUUUUAUUUAGUGUAAUUUGUUGUGAGCUUAUUAAUAACACUACCAGCUUAAUUAUAUUUUUUGUUUUAGAAUUCCUUACGCGAAGCUUAAUGGAUUUAUCCCUAGGAUAAAAAUUAAUAUAAAAUUUAAAAAAUAAUAUUAAUGAUGAAACUUUUAUGGAAAAUAUAUCUGAUUUUGGACAUGGGAAAACACUAGAUCUUAGCUUUUCGUCUGUACUAUAUUAAUGAAGUAGCAAUAAUUAUGCAGAUAUUUAUAUUUCUUGAAUAUAAAUAUAUUUAUUUAUCUUUUUUGUGUGUGUGUGAUUACAGUAUAACAUGAUUUGAAAUAGCAAAAGACUUCCUAAAAUUAGAAUUUCCAUUAGAAUGUAUUUUAACGUUCUCAAAAAAAAAUAAAAAAUUGGACGAAAUGUUAGAGUAAAUAUGUUAGGUUGUAUCAUUUAAAAAUUAACUAGUCGACCAAUUGAUUAUUAAGAUUGUUGGUAGAUAUAUAUAUCUUAUCUAGGCCUACUCAUAUCCUCUCCAUAAACAAAUAAGAAAUUGACAAUUGUAAAAAAAUAUUUCCUUUUCAUGAAAGUUAAAGAGAACUCCACCCAAAAAAAAAAAACCUUAGUAAUCAGCUAGCCAAGAUAAUCGUGUAAAAUUUAAUAUCAAAUCAUAUUUAUCAAUGAGCAGAAAAAAGAUUACUAUGAUGUUACAUAUUGUCAAAGUUAUGGUGUCGCACAGCUAAUGAGUUAUUGAGUUACCGACAUGGUUGUGGCAGUGGUGGAACUGCUUCAUUCUUAAUUAGAGGUUUCGGGUUCGAGCUUUGGGUAUGAAAAGAAUUUUGUUAACAACGUCAUCCUCGAAUGCCCCCCACCCCCAAAAUGAGUCCUGUAGUGCAUGAUUCAAAUUUAGCCGGGGCUCUAAUAUGAGCUCUGAAUGAAAAAAUUUAUAAUGAGCUGGCAUUUGAAGCAUUUAAUUUGGUUAACUAAUUUUUGGAUAUUCAAAAAAUAAUUUGUCGUGUCCCCUAUGAAACUUAAUGUUGUUAUCUGUAAAUAUAAUUAGUUGGUGAAGAGCAAGUGAGGGAACCCAUCCAUACAUGUGUCCAAAAUAAUAGAGAUAGUAGAAUUAUUUUUUUCAUAAUAGAAAAGUAUUCCCUUCAUAGGAAAAUGAUAAUUUCAAGGGAUAAUAGUAUUUUUGGUCCCUCAAUUAUAAGUAAGUUGAUUUUGAUUUUUCUAAUAUAUGACUCAACACAUUUUAUCUUCGAUUAUAAUUAGAAUGUACCCUUUUUAUCCAUUUGUACAGGAAAUAUGCUAUAGAUAUAUUUAGACAACUUUUAAAAGUACAUUACUCUCAAAUAUGGAGCAACGAUACACGUUUAACAUAAUAUUUGGUGAUUACAUGGUAAAACAUUUGGUUAAUACUUCAACAAAUUUGUGAUUAUUCAUCAGCAAAGAGAUUAGAAAUAUGCCCAUUUCAAGUAAUCGAAAAUUAAAUGUGCUUAAUCAAAUAUCAUAAGAAGUAGAUUCAGAUUAUAUCAGUAAUUAAGGGACUAAACAUGCUACACUAACCCUUAAUUUGAAGGAGUUGAUAAAGUCUUUGGAGGAAAAUGGUCAUAUAAUGUUCAAAAGAUAUUGGAAAAAAUAAAAAAAGCAAAUGUCAAACAUCAUGUGGAUUCGUCUUUCCCUUAUUCAAGGGAGGAGAUCAUAAUACUGAUGAUAUUUACAGAUUUUUCAAUAUUACUUAAUUAAAUAGUACAUCUAGUAGUUCCAAGUUGCAACACAAAAUUAUUGAUAAACAAUAUUACUUAAUUAAAUAGUACAUCUAGUAGUUCCAAGUUGCAACACAAAAUUAUUGAUAAACAAUAUUACUUAAUUAAAUAGUACAUCUAGUAGUUCCAAGUUGCAACACAAAAUUAUUGAUAAACAAUAUUACUUAAUUAAAUAGUACAUCUAGUAGUUCCAAGUUGCAACACAAAAUUAUUGAUAAACAAUAUUACUUAAUUAAAUAGUACAUCUAGUAGUUCCAAGUUGCAACACAAAAUUAUUGAUAAAUCGACAUGAUUAACACUUUUUUAUUUCUUAAACAUGCGAUCAGCAUGUUUUCUGACUUUUUCCAUUUCAUAUCAUGAUAAUUUAUUUUCUGCAUUGCCAGCCUAUCAGAAAUUGCCGCAUAUAUCUAUAUAUAAAAUAUUUAAUAUUGAUUUUCAAUAUUUUAUUUCCGUUUAUCUUUUUUUAUUUCCAUCAUUAAUAUUGAAUUUGGUCUAAAUUAUCGACCACAUUCCUUUCCGCUCUAUCAUUUAAAUUGCUUUCUUUCUAGAAUUAUUAUCACUGGAUCGGAGUACACCUGUAAAAUUAAAAGAAAAUUCGGAAAAUGAUUUAUUUUUUUAAAAAAAUCGUAUCGCAAUAAAGAUUAAAGCAAAUGUACCUACACUAAAUGUUAUUUCCUUGAUAUAAAUGUCUCUAUUGGACUCAGAUAACAAGCUUUGAAGUUUUGGGUAUUGAAAAAAAGAAGAAGAAAGACGAAAAAAAAUAAAAAUAUGUGAGUCGAGUUAAAUGGGUUGAUUUCUUUAAAAAAUGGGUACUUAAAUUAAGCUUGAUACGUGUUUUCCGUAGAAAUUAAAAUAAUUUGUGUUGAAAUAUAAUAAAAAUAUAUAUUUAAUUUGGACAGAAAAUAUAAAAAAGGGUAUACUUAAACAAUGUGCACGGGCCCAAUAAUAUAAAUGGUAUGUUUUGGGGUUAAUAAUCGUAGUUUUUGAAAGCGAUUGUUUGCGUGGAUAAAGGAAUAAGUUUGUUUAUCACAAACCUGUACUUUCUUUGACGCUAUUUAAGGCAUAAUAAGACUACCACAUACAAUAUUUUUUAAAUAUAUUAUGUUGUCAAUUAUCAUGAUUUAUAGUAUUUUUACGCAAUUUUUAAACUCUCUUUUAUGAUAGAUAGAAUAGAAUAGAAAAUAGAAAUAUAAUAAUAAAUAUAAAUAUAAUAUAUAGUAUUCAAGAAAGUCCCAAUGUUGAAUAUUAUAUAUUAUACUUGGGCAUAAACUCUCUUACGCACGGGCCCAAUAACUAUUAUUUUUUGUCCUAAUGUAUGUGACACAGAUAAAAUAUAGUGAGUUAUUUANNNNNNNNNNNNNNNNNNNNNNNNNNNNNNNNNNNNNNNNNNNNNNNNNNNNNNNNNNNNNNNNNNNNNNNNNNNNNNNNNNNNNNNNNNNNNNNNNNNNNNNNNNNNNNNNNNNNNNNNNNNNNNNNNNNNNNNNNNNNNNNNNNNNNNNNNNNNNNNNNNNNNNNNNNNNNNNNNNNNNNNNNNNNNNNNNNNNNNNNNNNNNNNNNNNNNNNNNNNNNNNNNNNNNNNNNNNNNNNNNNNNNNNNNNNNNNNNNNNNNNNNNNNNNNNNNNNNNNNNNNNNNNNNNNNNNNNNNNNNNNNNNNNNNNNNNNNNNNNNNNNNNNNNNNNNNNNNNNNNNNNNNNNNNNNNNNNNNNNNNNNNNNNNNNNNNNNNNNNNNNNNNNNNNNNNNNNNNNNNNNNNNNNNNNNNNNNNNNNNNNNNNNNNNNNNNNNNNNNNNNNNNNNNNNNNNNNNNNNNNNNNNNNNNNNNNNNNNNNNNNNNNNNNNNNNNNNNNNNNNNNNNNNNNNNNNNNNNNNNNNNNNNNNNNNNNNNNNNNNNNNNNNNNNNNNNNNNNNNNNNNNNNNNNNNNNNNNNNNNNNNNNNNNNNNNNNNNNNNNNNNNNNNNNNNNNNNNNNNNNNNNNNNNNNNNNNNNNNNNNNNNNNNNNNNNNNNNNNNNNNNNNNNNNNNNNNNNNNNNNNNNNAAUAUGCAAAAUCUAUACAAAAAGUACUAUAAAUUGUAAUUUUUUGCCUAUGAAUAUGAUGAAAAAACACAUUGUAAAAUAUUAGUUAAAAUUCUUAUAGUUUGACUCUAAAAAGGAAAUCAUAACAAUUAAAAGUGCAUAGAGAGAGUAAUAAAUAGGUAAUUAAAUUUGAAGAAGUUUAAAAUAAAAGGUUGAAAAAAAGAAUGAGGUCAAACUUUUUGGCUAAUAAAGUAGUAGGUAAUUAAUGGUGUUAAAUUGUCCAAUAAUAUAAAUUUUAAAGGUACAACCAUAAAAGAAGAAUGUACAACACUAUCAAACACAUAUCAUCCAACACUUGUCAUGUGCUAAGUAGUAGAUAUUUCCACUUAUUAUAUAUAGUAAUAUAUAUAUAUAUAUAUAUAUGUUGUUAUUAUGUAGAGUUCCAAUCAUUACUCCAAAGAAAGAUAAUACGUCUGUUGAUAGUUCCAUUUCCGAUUAUUAAAUCCCAAGAAAUUAAACAGCACACAUUUGUUGAUAAUUGCGUUACUAAUUUAACAUUAAGCACAAAGACUGUGAGGUCUAAUUGCUGGUUGGUCUGGCGGCAGAUUAAUUUAACAAAUAUAUUUCUAUAGUUUUAAAUUACAAAGCAAGAAUAAACAAUAAUUAGCAACUGGAGUACUAAAAGUAGUGAAUUUUUUCCUUUAUGAUAAGGUCAACAUUUAGCCGAUUGAACAAGAUCGUUUUACUUGAUUUUACUCACGAAUUCUAGAUAAGGUUUUAUAAUGAAAGUCAAAAUUUGACUUUUCGUAUUUCUCUAAAUUUUCUUUGUCGGAAAAUUAACUAUAGAUACAAAGCCUAAUUUUUAUGUAUAUUAUUACCCUUAUUUAGAAGAGGGAGUUGUGAGGACCAACACAGCUCCAAAAACUUGUUCCAAAUGUAAUUUAAGCCCUUAUUUAGAAGAGGCAGUUGUGAGGACCAACACAGCUCCAAAAACUUGUUCCAAAUGUAAUUUAAGUUCUACCCCACUUUAUUGUUGUGAAGGACCAACACAGCUCCAAAAACUUGUUCCAAAUGUAAUUUAAGUUGUACCCCCACUUUAUUGAACAAAUAUUGUACUACCAUUGACAAAAGUGGGCUCCAUUUCAUUGUUAAUUGAAUGAGUCUUUAUGGCUUUGUACUAGCAAUUUCCCACAAUCACGUCACCACGUGUAUGCACCUUUUCUAGACAGGUGUUUUUGUCUUUUUACUAGCUAUGUGGGAUACAACUGUUAUCACCUCAUUUUUCAUUUAUUGUUACCGUACUGUGUUCCUUCUACAUCUUUCUUUCUCUCAAAGUAUUCUAUCUACAAAAUUAAUGAUUUCUCUGUGCUCCAAAUCGCUCUUCUUCGGCGGCGUUGCUUCAAGGCUCUAUGUCUUUUUAUUAUUGUGAUGGUUAGAUUUUUUAUUUUCUCCUCAAACUCUUUUCUGUAUUUUAUGGAUCUGCUAUAUUAAAAGACAAUGAAAAUACAGAGAGAUUCAUGCCUUUUUCUAUAUUGAUAAUUUAGUCUAAAAGGUACAUUUUUUAUUUGAAAAAGUUUAUUGUGGUUGUUUGCAUGCCAUUUUUAUGAAUUCUUAAUGUUUUUGAUAUUUCUUGAAUAUUGUAUACAUAUGGAAGAUGCGAGAAUUUGAAAUGGCUAUUCAAAAUUUCUGCAUGUGAGUUCGCAUUUUCUUCUCGCAUUUUUAUGAUAUAAUUCACUCUUUUUGGUGUUCGAACACUGCAUCACAUGGUGGUACAAAGAGCAACCUUAUUGGUUCGAUCUUUCAAGAGUAGAAAAUAUUGAUUUCCGAUCUAGAUACAAGUUUUGGGAAUUUACUUAGUAUUUUAAUUUUAAUUUUUGAGUGUUGUUUGGAGUUAUAUUUCUCAUAAUGUUUAAGGUUUUUGUUUGUUUACUUAUUCCCCUGCAGUAGUUUUCCUUCUAAAUUAUUUCUUGAUUUUGACAUACCUUUAAAUUUUGGCUCAUGUUAGUUACUAGGGUAACAAUUCUUCUAUUGUGUGGAACAUGUUUCUCAUAAACUUAUAAGCAACGUUGAAAGUUUUUGGACUAAUUUAGGUAGGAUUUGAUAGAAAGUAAAAUUAUUGACUGAAAAUUAUUACUUUCAGAACGAAAAUAAUAGUGAAAAAUACUUCUUAUGCCUACACUUGGGACCUCACCUUCCAAUCUAAUACACUACUUCAUUAAUCAAUUGCCUGUUUUCGAGUAGUUUUUUACUAUAUCUUUGAUAUGUUUAGAGAAAAUUGAUCCAACGAUCUAGACAUGAGUGAAGAAAUUAACGUAUAAUAUUUCUUUUGCCUUUCGCAGGUUAAGAGUGAUCAAGUUAUCCUAAAAACUUCUAGGUGAAGCACUCUGUUCUGCUUGUACCGGCGAGGACAUGGGACUUCUGCUGAAAUUAUUGUUCACUACACCAUAGGCAAUGUGGAGGUCACUUUUUUGGAGAUGUACAUGUUUUGGGUCUUAACUGUAAAGUACCCUCCUCCUUUGGCACUCUGAUCUAUCUUGCACUCAUACCACUAAAGAACCAAGGUAGUUUUCUCCAUUUUUUGUGCUUGUAAUACAUAAAUGUGUCUUAUAGUUAUGGCUAUGUAUGAGUUUUUAAUAAAGAUCAAGUGUUACAGUAGAUGAACUCACUUCCUAUCUAUAUUUGCCUAUUUUUUUAUUUUUUUUAAAAAAAACUAAUAAUAAAUCAAUUGACACUAUCAUCUAGACACAAUAUUAUUGUGAUCCAUAGGUAUCAAAGUUAAUCUAAGUCAGAGACAACACUAAAUUGAGAUUCCAACUACAUCUGAAAACAUGUUGUUAAUUCAACUACCAAGUCAUGAUCCUUCUGCGCUAUGACCUUAUGAGUUGAAUGAGCACAUGCGACAUGAGAGCUGAAAAAUUAGAAAUCAUUGUUUCAAAAUUAUGAAUAGGAUGUCAUAAUGGUAUCCAAGAGAGUAACAACAUAUAAAUGAAAUAAGACUACAAGAGAGAUAUGUUGAUCCGUUUUAAUAACCGUGUUGGUAAGUCAAUAUGCCACUUUCUGAUUUUAGUAGAUAUUUGCAUCUAUUUAGAUUAGAUGUCUCAGCUUAUUAUGAUAGUUAAGAAUUGAUGAAAGACUACUAUUUCAAAUACUCUAUAUAGUGUUGUUAUGAUUGAUGAGAUAGUGCCGUUUUGUUUCUAUGAGAUUUUUUCCUUUGUUGUGUGAAUUUCAAUGUCCGUUUGGAUAUAAGAACUAAAACCUGAAAUUCGGUAAAAUAACUGUUGAAAAAAUGUUUCUAUUCUCAAACUGAAUUUUUCGUUCCAAGUCUUAAAAGAAGAGAGGAUCACUGAUAAUUCAAAUAUUUAAGAACUCUUUAAUAAGUUUUGCUCUCUUAUAAUAUAAUAAAUUCUUAUUUGUACUAGGCUUUCUUCUAUAGUCCUAUAUUACCUUGCACGCAACAAUGUUAUUAUAAUCAAAAACCUUGGAAACAUAUGUCAUAUGUUUGAGAAAGUUAAUAGGGCAAGAAAUGUAACAAGACAAAUGAAUAUCAAUUACUUUGUUAUAUUUUCUUUUGAGCAUUUUAUUUGUGUAUUGGUAAUAGUUGAAUUGAGUUUGUAUUGUUUGUUUUAAGCUAAUUUGUAUUUUCUUGCUAAAAAAUUGUAGUUGUGUUAAGCAUAUGACUUUACUGUAUUGACGUCUACUAUAUUAAAUAAAAAUCCUACCUUACUUUAGUAACUAUAUAACCAUUCCAUUUCACACGCUUACAAGUUACAGCUUUAUAGUGUCAUAUAUGUUAGUUCAUGUUUCUCAGAGACAACAUUUAUAUCCGACACUCAGCAGAUAGGAAAAUUAGGUGUGGCAUCAUAGCGGGGGCGAUCAUAUGCUACUUCAGAGUUCCAGAUUUACAUGUAAGUUAAUAUGCCAGUUUCUGUUAAAAUGUUUGAGGCAACUUCACAUGAGUUUAGUUGUUCUUAGCAGUUAUUUAUAUCAAUUUACAUUUGAUGCUUCAUCUUAGUGCGGUUGUUUCAAAUUAUGAAAUGAAAAUCGUUCUUCACUUUGAUGUUAAUUAAAAUUUUACAGUAAAAAUUGAUUGGUAAUACUUUUCAAGAAUGGAACAAGGAUUGCAACCUCUAUAAUGAGAAAAUUUUGCACAACUAAGUAAUAUUCUACGUUGCAUUGAACAUGGAAAAUUUAUCAGUUUAUCUCAAGUAUUGUACAAAAGUUUUGAUUCCCCUGUUUUUGGGAGAAAUAUUGGAGCACCAUCAUAUAUGGCACCAACAUUAAGUUUACGAAAGUCUGGUAUUGAAGUACCAUCGAAGUAUAUGCAAGAUUCAUUAUCAAAAUUGCGAAGAUGGAGUUCAGAUUUUGGUGUUGUGAAGCCAGAGUCUUUAAAAUUAGGAUUGAAAUUCAAGAAUCCAAUGCAAAGGGCUACUACUUCACUUCACAGUAAAACUUCUAAAUGGGCUUUGUCUCCUGGAGGGUUGCUACUUCACUUAAUAGUAAAACUUCUAAAUGGGCUUUGUCUCCUGGAAGGCCGAAUUUGCCUCAUGUGUUGAUGCAGAAUAAAGGAAUUUUUACAUCGAAUAUUAAGCCUCCGACGAGUCCUUCGAAGGGAAAAAAUGUUGGGAAUUUCCUUAGCAUGGGGCUUGAAUUGCUUAAAGGUAAGAUUUUUUAUUUUUUUUUACAGUUGAAGCUACAGUGGAGGCUUCGGUUUGGCUCCCAAACCCAUGUCAUUUUCUUUCUUCUUUUUCAUUUUUUUAGUAACAAAAUAAACCAACAGUAGGACCAAACUUCACAAUUACUCCACUUCCCUUCCUUGCUUCGAGGAGGUUAUAUAAUAGUAACAGAAGGAGACAGGUAUAGAAUAGAAGUCUCCGCUUAGUCCUGGCAUAACGGAGAGCAUUCAUCAUUUGAGGAUACUUCAUAAUAAAUUGUUGCAGUGGAGAUAUAUAAAUACCAGAGCUGAUUCAAUCCGUCACAACUCAGUAGACAAGCUCAGGUCAGUCGCGGAGUUAGAAAUUUUACUAAUUGUUUAUUUGGUUUUUCUCUUAGGCAAACUUAGUAUAUGCUUGGGAUUGUCUAAUGAAAAUGAGAAUCUGUGCUACAAAAGAAGUUGCAGCUACAGAGGAAAAACAUGGAAAUGAAAUUGAGUUUUGUUCUUUAUUCUCAAGUAAGAACUGAUUUACCCUUGAUGAAUAUCGGUCAGACAGUAACAAAAAUCAUCACAACAAUUAAAUAUAUGAUUUUUUCGCAAUGUAUUGUGCAAAUAAAGUUACUAGAAGCAUGGGGUUCUAUGGAAAAGCAGCAUUCUUCAGCAGUGUCAAGUUCCCUAGAUUGUUUACAAUCCGCAGUCUGUAGGGUUCCUCUCAUUGAAGGAGCCACGGUAAGUCCAUUGGCAAACCAGAAAAAAUCGUUAAGGUUGUUAAUGAUUUAAUAUACAUGUCUAAAAAGUAACUUUUGAUCUGUAUAUACUAAAAAAUAUUGUUUACUUUAUAAUUUUCCAUUAGAGAGUGUUUAACUAACCACCCUUCACUUUAUGUGGCUACGUAUAAGCCAUAAGGUAUUUCACUGACAAGAUUAAGUCUGUAAAUGGAGCCACAAUCGGCUAUUAUUGCUCUUUAACAUGCAUCAGAUGUACCUUCAUUGAUCAAGGUAAGUUUAUGUUCGUUGUCACUUUCUGUUUAUCAAUUUUUCGGGUUAAAUAGACCAUAUGAAAACAUAGAUAACUAGAGAUCAAAAUCAAGAAUUCAUUUACGGGCAAGUCGAACCCCUCUUUCUAUGGUUGAGUUAUCCCAUGACUGCUAGAUCAGGAAGAGCCAACCAUACGUAGGAGGAGACAACUAAUUCAUGGAUGCCACUGUUAAAUUUCUUUUAAUGCUAUUGCAACGUCCAUUUAAGCUUGAUUUCUCAUUCUAAUCUUAUCCUUAAUUGCAAAGCUGUCAAUGUAUCAUUGGUAUUGUAUAAAAAUAGUCUUCAGUCGCUAAAAAAGUCGGUGAUCUACUUUUCAAGAAGCCCUAGAUCAUAUGACUUUUCUGAUUAUCAUUCUUGCAGGUUCUUUCAUUUUAAGUCAAGGUAAGUUUAUUUUCUCUGUCGCAUUCUUUUUAUAUUUUUUUAUCAACUUUUCUGUUUCUCCUAUUAAGUAUUGAGAAGCAAGACUAUGUUAUGAGAGACUACACAAUGAAAUGUGAUAUCUUGGAAAACAUUUAGAAUUACAAUGCUGUGAAUUUGUGAUUUUAGUUAUUCAUAGUAAGAAGAUAAAAAAUAUAUAUAUAAUUAUGUCAAAAUUAAAAAAAUAGCUAGCCGCCCAAAUGUAUUAAGAAAAUUAUGUGUNNNNNNNNNNNNNNNNNNNNNNNNNNNNNNNNNNNNNNNNNNNNNNNNNNNNNNNNNNNNNNNNNNNNNNNNNNNNNNNNNNNNNNNNNNNNNNNNNNNNNNNNNNNNNNNNNNNNNNNNNNNNNNNNNNNNNNNNNNNNNNNNNNNNNNNNNNNNNNNNNNNNNNNNNNNNNNNNNNNNNNNNNNNNNNNNNNNNNNNNNNNNNNNNNNNNNNNNNNNNNNNNNNNNNNNNNNNNNNNNNNNNNNNNNNNNNNNNNNNNNNNNNNNNNNNNNNNNNNNNNNNNNNNNNNNNNNNNNNNNNNNNNNNNNNNNNNNNNNNNNNNNNNNNNNNNNNNNNNNNNNNNNNNNNNNNNNNNNNNNNNNNNNNNNNNNNNNNNNNNNNNNNNNNNNNNNNNNNNNNNNNNNNNNNNNNNNNNNNNNNNNNNNNNNNNNNNNNNNNNNNNNNNNNNNNNNNNNNNNNNNNNNNNNNNNNNNNNNNNNNNNNNNNNNNNNNNNNNNNNNNNNNNNNNNNNNNNNNNNNNNNNNNNNNNNNNNNNNNNNNNNNNNNNNNNNNNNNNNNNNNNNNNNNNNNNNNNNNNNNNNNNNNNNNNNNNNNNNNNNNNNNNNNNNNNNNNNNNNNNNNNNNNNNNNNNNNNNNNNNNNNNNNNNNNNNNNNNNNNNNNNNNNNNNNNNNNNNNNNNNNNNNNNNNNNNNNNNNNNNNNNNNNNNNNNNNNNNNNNNNNNNNNNNNNNNNNNNNNNNNNNNNNNNNNNNNNNNNNNNNNNNNNNNNNNNNNNNNNNNNNNNNNNNNNNNNNNNNNNNNNNNNNNNNNNNNNNNNNNNNNNNNNNNNNNNNNNNNNNNNNNNNNNNNNNNNNNNNNNNNNNNNNNNNNNNNNNNNNNNNNNNNNNNNNNNNNNNNNNNNNNNNNNNNNNNNNNNNNNNNNNNNNNNNNNNNNNNNNNNNNNNNNNNNNNNNNNNNNNNNNNNNNNNNNNNNNNNNNNNNNNNNNNNNNNNNNNNNNNNNNNNNNNNNNNNNNNNNNNNNNNNNNNNNNNNNNNNNNNNNNNNNNNNNNNNNNNNNNNNNNNNNNNNNNNNNNNNNNNNNNNNNNNNNNNNNNNNNNNNNNNNNNNNNNNNNNNNNNNNNNNNNNNNNNNNNNNNNNNNNNNNNNNNNNNNNNNNNNNNNNNNNNNNNNNNNNNNNNNNNNNNNNNNNNNNNNNNNNNNNNNNNNNNNNNNNNNNNNNNNNNNNNNNNNNNNNNNNNNNNNNNNNNNNNNNNNNNNNNNNNNNNNNNNNNNNNNNNNNNNNNNNNNNNNNNNNNNNNNNNNNNNNNNNNNNNNNNNNNNNNNNNNNNNNNNNNNNNNNNNNNNNNNNNNNNNNNNNNNNNNNNNNNNNNNNNNNNNNNNNNNNNNNNNNNNNNNNNNNNNNNNNNNNNNNNNNNNNNNNNNNNNNNNNNNNNNNNNNNNNNNNNNNNNNNNNNNNNNNNNNNNNNNNNNNNNNNNNNNNNNNNNNNNNNNNNNNNNNNNNNNNNNNNNNNNNNNNNNNNNNNNNNNNNNNNNNNNNNNNNNNNNNNNNNNNNNNNNNNNNNNNNNNNNNNNNNNNNNNNNNNNNNNNNNNNNNNNNNNNNNNNNNNNNNNNNNNNNNNNNNNNNNNNNNNNNNNNNNNNNNNNNNNNNNNNNNNNNNNNNNNNNNNNNNNNNNNNNNNNNNNNNNNNNNNNNNNNNNNNNNNNNNNNNNNNNNNNNNNNNNNNNNNNNNNNNNNNNNNNNNNNNNNNNNNNNNNNNNNNNNNNNNNNNNNNNNNNNNNNNNNNNNNNNNNNNNNNNNNNCAACUUCAUAAAGUGUUGGUAGUAAAAUAGUUCCACUACAAAGGACUCAAUUACUUAAAGAAAACCCUUUCGGAUAUUCACAUUUUGCUUAUUGGAUGUUGAUGCUUUUUCAUUAGCAUUUGUUUUUCUUAUAAUUGACUUAUUUUAAAAGAGCAACAUUGGUAGGGGAUAUGAUUUAGGUGUCAUUUUCAAUUCGACAGAAUAUAGGUAAGAAAUUAUCAAUGAAAAGUUUACUUACUCUUAAGUUAGAAUAACAAUUUAAUUUUGUUACUGUUGGGCCCGUGCUUGACACGGGCCGUCCCAUCUAGUAUAUAUAUAAAGGACAGGAAAGAAUAUUUGAGAUUUUAUCAUUUUAAUAGAUGUUGAUGUCAUAGGGUUGUUUAUGUAGUUUAAUAUUACAUAAAUAUUCUUUUAUUCUGGAUUAUGUAAUUAAUACUUUUUGGCAAUGGCCAGGAGAUGAGUAAAAAGUUGUUGAGGCUUUAGACAUUAUGGCCAUGUGAUCAGAGCCUGAAAUUUCUUCCACUUCAUCUGGUGGAUUCUUUUCAAUCAUAUACUAUUUUAAUUCCUCCGGCAGAAUUUUAUCUUCAGCAUCACAACGAACGCAUACAUUUUGCUCGAAAGAACCAUCUCCUUUGAUAUGUCUUCCGGACUGUGCAAGUAUAUUGGCCUUACUAACGUAGUAGCAAGCGCCAAAUCCUAUCACCAAACAGAGGAAAAUAAAAUAAAAUGGAUUUGUUUCUAAGAUAAACUAGUGAAAUUUUCGCCUAGCCGGGUAAUUUCAGGGGUCUUCUUUAGUCUAGUUGAAGAUUUGUAUGUUUGUGCAGAGGAUUCAUAGCAGACUUCACUAUGUCUCGUUUUGAAAAGAAAUGAAUCUUGUACCUGAUUCGAUCGCAAAAAAUUAGAGGCCCAAACACCACUUGGUGCUUAGCAGGCUCAGCUGAUAAAGCUUUCCAUGGCUUUAGAAAUCGCGAAUCCACCAAGGCUAUGGCCUACAAGAACCACUUUUUCAUGUGUAGGAAGAGAAGCCAUGAACUCUGUUAGCGGACUAAAGUAAUCAGAUAAAUAAACGUGGGAUUCUAAGGACCUGCUUCGGGUUGAUCCCUGAAGCACCCAAAUAUUGCCGUGACAUUAUGCCCUGAAGAUCUCAUCAGUGUCACAAUCUUGUACCAAGACCAGGCUCCACGACACGCGCCAUGUACUAGCACAAAGUGCUUGUUAGCUUUAGGCCAUUUAGGCCCUGGUGCUGUUGAAUUUACAUAUGGCAACAAAAGUAUCAGUACUAAACUUUAGAAACUUGAUUUCUUUUCUAGUGUUGAAGUACAAAGAAUCUUAUAAGGUGAUAAUAAACCUUGUCCACAUGAUUAUUUGAGUGAAUUUUGAAUUUUUUUCUUCCUUCGAAUUCAACAUUUCACUUGAUCAGGGCUUACGUGGGGUUGCAGAAGUUUGUCAAAUGUAGUGAAAAUGAUUGAAGUGUCUUUUGCUUGCGCAUUUAGCUAUCUUGAGCCAAAGUUACGUUUUGCUUUCGAUUUGUCUUUGAAAGACAAGUACCCAAAUAGCCGAUUGGAGGACCGCUAUUCAAGUCAUUGAAAAUUACAAAAUAUUUAUAUUUUACAGGUUUCUGAAUCAACUAUUCAGAGACUUAUGAGACUGAAGUGGAAAUUCAAUAUAGAGUUUAUAAUUGGGGAAUGUCAAGCCAAAAGUUCGAAUUUAAGACAUUUAGGUAUGAACUUAGGAUUGUUACUCCCUAACUCCACAUCUGUAAGUUUAAAGCUUGACCUAUACACCAAGCCUAACUUCAGACGCGUAUAUCUGAUUUUGAACUUAAGUUUGAAUGAAGUCCAACUUCAGACGUACAUUCAGGUCUGAAGUUAACGACUACAUCAAUUGUCGUCACAAUAUUGUAUACCAAUUUUUUUUCCCUUUCCACCACUGGACUUAUGUCUCCUUUGAUUUCGUUGUUUUGAUAGAUACAACUUCCACAAAAGGGAGAGUUUAUCCCACUCAACAUUAGAUAUUGAACCUUAUGUUGCUGUACUCUAUAUAAAGUUCCUCAAUGGUAUUUAAGAGACUGAAAUUUUAUGAUAUUGUUCUUAUUUGAACCUAUUUUCAUUGUAAUCGGUUGCUUAAGUUAGGAGUUUUUCAGAAGUUCUAUAUAAAGUUUAUUAAUGCACCAUUUCCAAAACCCAGGAUGCAAUAUGAUAAGUUAAAUUAUUAUUUUUUUUAAAAAGAUAGGCAACUUGUUUGUAUAUUGAGGUAUAUAUAGUGUUUGAAAUAAAAUUAUAAAUUUGAAAACUGUGUAAAAAAUAUUAUAAAUCACAACAAUUAACAAUUUAAAGAAUUUAAAAGAUACAUACAAAAAUUCGGUAAAAAGACUUAAGAAUCCUCAAAAAACAAGAGUGCCUUGCUUGGAUGGUAUGAGUUGUUGGAACAAAAGGAUUGUGUGUACUCAAUUGAUCUAGGGUGCACGCCUCCCAAAAACUAGUAGUAUCAGAUUACAGGGAAAGUUGAAGUACAAUUUCUAAAAUUUAUUUCAGUAUACUUUAUUAUUGAAUAUUUAAUCAAAGAUUAAUAAGCUCGUCACUUGUGAGCAAUACGUAGAAGAAGAGUAAAAAGUUUUAGGGGCUUAGACAUCAUGGCCAUGUGAUCAGAGCCUGAAAUCUUUUUCACUUCAUCUGGUGGAUUAUUUUCAAUCAUCCAAUGUUGAAAUUCCUUGGGUAGAGUUUUAUCUUCAACAGCCACAAUGAAUACUCGUCUAACUGUUCCGUACUUUUUGCUUGAAACAACUAUCCCCUUAGAAAAAUCUUCCACGCUGUAUAGGUAUAGAGGCCUUACUAGUGUAGUGGCCAGCGCCAAAUCCUAACAACAAAAGGGAAAAAAAAGAAGAGGAAACUUUAUCAGUUCAAUGAUGUUGAUGUUCUACUCGAAUCAACUGGAGAAAACAUGCAACAUUAGAGCCAUCGUCAUGACCAUUUUGCUUGCUUACCUGAAUUGGGCUCAACUGAUAAACAUUUCUUGCCAAGUACUUUGGACCAAAGAUGAAGGUUGUUGGAGGAUUGGUUGGUCCAUUAUCAUACGUUACACGAUUAUCAAGUUGAGAUACAUUUCCAUUGAAAGAUUGUAACUAAAUAAUAGUUUCAAAAUGAAAAAGAUGUUAGUAGCUGACUGAACAGAUCAUAGCAAAGGCAAAGUUGGUGAAUUAUAUACAUAUAUAUAUGUACCUUGGUUAAGAGAGUGGUCACAUUUAGAGUUGGACCAGGCAUCAGAGCAGUAACAAAUACAGCAACUGAAAUCUUUUCUGGAAAUCUUUCCAUGGCAUUAGAUAUGGCCAAUCCACCAAAGCUAUGGCCUACAAGAAUCACUUUCUCAUGUGCAGGAAGAGAAGCCAUGAACUCCAUUAAUGGACUAAAGUAAUCAAAUAAAUGUGGGAUUUCCAGGACCUGUUUGUUGUUGAUCCCUGAAGCACCUAAGUCAAGAGAUGUGACAUUAUGCCCUGAAGAUCUUAUCAGUGCCACAAUUUUGUACCAAGACCAGGCUCCGUGACACGCCCCAUGAACUAGCACAAAGUGCUUGAUAGUUUUACACCUUGAUGUCGUUGAAUUUACACAUGGCAACAAAACUAUCAGUACUAAACUUAUUAGAAACUUGUUUUUCUCCAUUUGCUUUCUUUUCUUCUUCUGAACGAUGGUAUGAACCAUUACAAGGCAAUUAUUAUAGAUAAUCAAGGUGUUUGACCUUCUAACUUACCUCCCUGCUGAAGCAAUCCUAUGUCAAAUAUUAUUUAUUGGGGAUUUUAUCAUUCACUAAGUCAACUAGAGGAAGAGAAUAGAUUAUUAGAUUAUCCAGGCUGAAGUUGCAUAAAACAGUUUAAUUGUCAGUAUCACUGAUAAAAGAAAGGAUAACAAAGAUCAAUGCCAACUGCUGACUGAACCUAAAAGUCUAUACUAUGCAGGAUAAAUGAGGACAUUUUCAAACAAAGUCACAAUCAUUUGACUUAAAAUUACAGGGGACAUGAUCAUAAUUCAUAAAGGUCAUAGAUGUUACCUAACAGAGGACUCUAUGGCCCGAGUGAUUUCAUACAGCAGAAGAAAAUUGUUAAGUGAGGGGGAAUAAUCAAAUUAAGCACAGGGUGCUUAAAUCUCAUGAAAUCACUGGAAUUUUGGUAUCAUUCUUUGCAUUAAAUUAAACCAAACAUGUUCAACAAAUAUAAUAAAAAUAAGAAAGGGAAAUUUGAACUGUUUCGUGAGGGUAGAAACGUUCAGAGUUGGACCAGACAUCAUUAUUUCAGCAACAAAAACAGCAACUGAAUUCGAGUAGUGUGAAAAUCUUGAGUGCUUGGAUUUUGUUCCUUCGACAUUUCAGUAAGUCAAAGGUAAGUUGGGGCUAGAGUUGUAAGUCCAAACAUAACAUAUGUACAUUAACUUUUGGAAUCUAUGAUCUGAUGAAAAUAAUUGCAACAUGGCGUUACUGGGAUCCUUAGAAGUUAAAUUAUUCUGUGAAAUGCUCAUGUAUUGGAGAUGUAAUUAGAAAGGCAUGAUUUCACAAAAUCCCUGACGCCAAGUGAUAAGCCCAAAAAUUACAACUCUGCUUAUGUUGAACAUUUCCAAGAUGUUUUUUGUGGGGAACAACAAAGGGAAUCUCUACACAAUGAACAAAAGACUGAUUCAACAAAGGGUAAUCUAAUUUUAUUUCAACUAUGCAUUGUUCAUGAAUAUGUAAUACAAGCUGGUUUAAGCUAUUAAGAUAGCUUGUCAUUUCUUGGCAAUACGCAUAAGAAGAGUAAAAAGUUGACGGGGCUUAGACAUCAUGGGCAUGUGAUCAGAUCCUAAAAUCUCUUCCACUUGAUCUGGCGGAUUCUUUUCAAUCAUUAACUGUUGAAAUUCCUUCUUUAGAAUUUUAUCUUCAGCUGCCACAAUAUACGCUCGUCUAACUGAUCCAUAAUUUUUGUUUGAAAGAACUAUCUCCUUUGAUAUUUCAUCCAAACUGUGAAAAUAAAUUGGCCUUACUAAUGUAGUAGCCAGUGCCCAGUCCUAACACCAAGAAGGAAAAGAAAAUCGUUUGUUAAGGCCAUUCUCAUUAUCAAGAGUACCAGUACUCAGCUAUUUCAAUUUAUAUUUUUACUAUGCUCUGCAGUCUGCUUACCUGAAUUGGGCUCAGUGGAUAAAGAUAACUCGCCAAGUACUUUGGACCAAAGAUGAAGGUUGUUGGAGGAUUGGCAAGUCCAUUAUCGAAUGUAAGACGAUUAUCAAGUUUAAAUAUUGCUCCACUGGAUGACUACAGUAAAGUAUAAUAGUUUCAAACAUGAAUGUAAGCUAACAUAAAGAAUAUCAUUUCAUGGCUAAAUUUGAAAAUGAUACCUCAUUGAAGAUGGUGGCUGCAUCAAGCAUUGGACCAGGCAUUAGAGCAGUGACAAAUAUAGCAACUGAAAUCUUUUCAGGAAAGCUUUCCAUGGCUUUAGAUAUGGCAAAUCCGCCAAGGCUAUGGCCAACAAGAAUCACUUUUUCAUCUGCUGGAAGAGAAGCCAUGAACUCCAUUAGUGGUCUAAAGUAAUCAGAUAAAUGUGGGAUUUGAAGGACCUGUCUCGGGUUGACCCCUGCACCACCCAAGUCCAGAGCUGUUACAUUAUGCCCUGUUGUUUUUAUUGACGCCAUAGUCUUGUACCAAGACCAUGCUCCAUGGCAAGCCCCAUGAACAAGCACGAAGUGCUUGCGAGCUUUAGGCCGUUUAGGCCCUGACAUGGUUGCAUUUACACAUGACAACAGAAGUAUUAGAACAACUAGACUUGUUAGAAACUUGCUUUUCUCCAUAUCUUUUUCUUCUUCUUUUGAAGAAUGAGCACAUUGUAUGAACCAUUACAAGGCAAUUAUAUAAUUCCAGGAGUUUGACAUUUGUUAAUUAAUUUACUUACUUUCAUGCUGAAGUAACCCCAUGUUAGGUGCUAAUUGCUAUAGGGACAUUUUAUUUUUUUAUUGGAUAUGUUUCUUGGAAGUUCAAUCAUUCAUCAAAAGAGAAUAAAUAAGUAAAAUUUCUGUUUUCUCCAGAUAAUUGGAAUGAAAUCAUUCACUAUUUUAUUUUCAUAUUGGAUGGGUAUAUUUGGGCCAUUUAUGUAACUAUAGAUAUAUGUGAGCCACUUUUGUAAUAUAAGACAUGUUCUAUCUAACCUGGCAAAAGUGCAUUCCUUCAAUAAUUUCUGAUAUUGAGAGACUUGCCCAACUGUAUUCGCAAGUCCAUCAAACCCUCCAAAGAAACAAACAACAGCCUAAUAACACAAUAACAAAGAACUUUACAAUGGCCAAACUUGAUGCUGCACUCUAGAAAUAAUUUCCUAAAUAGGCUUCAAAUAGCCGCCAACAGAUAGUAUCAAGUCACAAAUUGGUCAAGCAACAAUUCAACUCAUUGCUGCAGUCAUAGGCAGUUUCCAGAAUCAAGAAAAAAUUAGCAAUAAACAGAUUCGUCUCAAACCUGACCAAAGAGGGUUACAGUUUCUGUUUGGAGGAUUUUCUUCUUGGAAAAAUGGUCCUAUAAUAAGGCGACCACCACAAGUCAACCGGAGAUGCCAAACAGAUUUUGUAACAGAGAGCCGGACCAAGAUUUGUCCACUCACGCGCCUUCACGCGCUCUUCGGACUGGGUUGUCUCCGCCAGCUUGAACGACGCGUGUGAUUCACGCACUUCUCCUCUGGAAACCGGCUUCUGGGGUUUUGUAGAUCGGGGUAAGAUGGUCGUUCUUAGGUUGGUGGCGGCAGCUAAAUUUCAUUUACAUACUGAGCCAAUUCCGGCAAGCUUUCUGAGGUAACUCGGAAAAAUGUUUUCUAACACCAUUUAAAGAUAUGGCACCUAAGGUGAGCAGAGAAUUGUUCAAGUCUAUAAGCAGACUGCCCAUUUAUUUUUCAAUCAAUGUGAAACUUUAACCUAGUCUAACCAUCAUUAUUAUUAUUAUUAUUAUAGAGAGGCCAAUCAAGUUGCGGAUGGACUUGCUACGGAAUCAACAAAAUUGAUUCUGUGUGUUUUAUUUUGAUACUAGUCUGUGAGAGUUUUAUCUUGUCAAAUCCUUGAUUGUUUCUCUUCCAUCUUUCCCUUCGUUUGUUCAAUCUUUCAUCUUGCGCCUUCAAUCACGUGCCUUCCUACAUAGUUGUUUUACCCACGAGAUAAGGGGAAAGUGUUGUGGUACCGAUUGUAACAGUCCAAUUGAACCAAGAUAGUAAUAUUGAUAUGUAAUUAGAGAAAAUAGAGAUAGUUUACUGAUGUCAAUUCCAAACACUGAAAUUACAACGAAACGAAACAACAACUGAAAGAAAAUGAUUGAGAUGUCAAAUUAACUAACUCGACAUUGGGGCUUCCAUGAAAGAAUUCAUGAGAUCGCCAUAGAAAUGCAUCAUAUAUGUGAAUUGCUGCUUCCCUCCUCAGCUAUGCAGUCAUGUGUAGUUUAAAUUAUUUCAACUAAGCUUCAUUCUUGAAUAUGUAAUGAAAAGCUGUGUCUGUCAUUUGUGAGCAAUGCUCAUAAUAAGAGUUAAAAGUUGAAGGGGCUUAGACAUGAUGACCAUAUGGUCAGAGUCCUCGAUCUCUUUCACUUCAUCAGGUGGAUUCUUUUCAAUCAUCUGCCUUUGAAAUUCCUUCUUUAGAAAUUUAUCUUUAGCAGCAAUAAUGAACACUCGUCUAACUGAUCCAUACCUUUUGCUUGAAAGAUCUAUCUCCUUAGCAACAUCUUCCACACUGUAUAAGUAUAGCGGCCUUACUAGUGUAGUGGCCAACGUCAAAUCCUAACACCAAGAAGGAAAAAUAAACUAAUUUAAAUCAGUUACUUUCCAUGUCCAUGACCAGAAUAACAAGACUUUGCUAUUUCAUGUAUAUAUCUAUGUUAUGCUUUACUUACCUCAAUUGGGCUCAGAUGGUAAACAUUAGUGGCCAAAUACUUUGGAUCAUCAAGGAAGGUGGUUGGAGGAUUGGUAGGUCCAUUAUCAUAUGUCACACGAUUAUCAAGUGCAGAUAAUACUCCCCUAGAUGACUAUAACAAAGUAUAUUUAGUUUCAAACAUUUAAAAAGUGUAAGCUAACAUAUAUAACAGAUCAUCCCCAUGGCAAAAAAUUGAGAAUACAUAUGAGAAAUUGAUACCUCCAUGUAGACAGUGGUUGCAUUGAGAGUUGGACCAGGCAUUAGAGCAGUGACAAAUACAGCAACUGAAAUCUUUUCGAGAAAACUUUCCAUGGCUUUAGAUAUGGCUAACCCACCAUGGCUAUGGCCAACAAGAACCACUUUUUCAUGUGCUGGAAGAGAAGCCAUGAACUUCAUUAGUGGACUAAAGUAAUCGGAUAAAUGUUGGACUUGGAGGACCUGCUUAGGGUUGAUUCCUGAAGCACCCAAGUCAAUAGCUGUGACAUUAUGUCCUGAAGAUCUCAUUAAUGCCACAAUCUUGUACCAAGACCAGGCUCCAUUGCCUGCCUUGUGAACUAGCACAAAGUGCUUGCUAGCUUUAGGAAAUUUAGACCCUGACAAGGUUGCAUUUACAUAUGGCAACAGAAGUAUUAGAACUACUAGACUUGUUAGAUACAUAUUUUUCUCCAUGUCUUUGUAUCCUUCUUUUGAAGAAUGAGCACAUAAAGGUUUCUUAACGGAUGUGUCAAGUUAAUAUGGCCCUAGUAAAAUGAAACCGAGGGAGAAGAUGAAGAAAUUGAAUUGAUUCAUGAUGGUAUUUAUAGCUUUGGAAAAAGGAAUUGCAUUUCGUGUUUGAGCAUUUUAAAAAAAAUAAAUUAAAGUGCACGUAGCAUACAAUCUUUAAUGAAAGGUGGCAUUUAGAUUUUAGUUCCUCCUAACCUAAAUUUUCGGCUAGCUAGCUAGGACCAAGUUUUGGUAACAGUGAUAAAUAAAAAGUGUAAGGAUUUAAUUGUUGAGAAAAGUAUGAGCUUGAAGAGAAAGAGGGUCCUGGGAGGGGGUAAGAGUGGCUAUAAUUUUAAUGGUUCGACUCACAUAGACCUCCUUACACUCUGCUACUAUGACCUGCAUUUGUACACAAUAACUCCCAGUUCCUGCACUGUUUAUUCAUUUAUAAAGUUGUGGAUUGAGGUAAAUGGCAUCAACGAGCUUUUGCUCAUCUACAGCAUAUUCCUCAUUCAUAUUGUCCUCCUCCCCAUUGACGAGAUUUAACUGUUUGGUCUUGAACUAAAUUUAAGUAAUUACAGGAAAUUGAGGUCCUUUAUUGAUGUAAAUUUCAAACACUGAAAUAACAAUGAAGGAAAUAACAACCGAAAGAAAAUUGAAAUAUCAAAUUAACUAGGACUUCUAUGGAAGAAACUGAGUCGUCAUAUAAAUGCAUCAAAUAUGUGAAUUGACUGAAGUUUUAUUCUCAGCCUUAAGCCUGUCCCCCUUAUUCUUCUUAACUAACAGCUCUUAAUUAGCUAUACUUGUUGGCAAUGCUCAGAAGAGUAGUAAAAAGUUGUUUGGGCUUAGACAUAAUCAUCAUGUGGUCGGAGCCCUGGAUCUCUUCCACUUCAUUUGAUGGAUUCUUUUCAAUCAUCAAUUUUAGAAAUUCCUUUGUCAGGGCAUUAUUUUCAGCAGCAACAAUAAACACUCGCCUAACUAAUCCAUAUCUUUUCCUUGUAAGAACUAUCUCCUUAGAAACAUCUUCCGCGUUGUAUAAAUAAAAUGGCCUUACUAGUGUAGUGGCCAGUGCCAAAUCCUAACACCAAGAAGGAAAAACAUGAUUUAAAUUAGGCUUAGUUGAUGUUGCGGGUUAAGUACUUGAAUAGAUCUGUAAUUUGUAUAAACUACUGAAAUCUUCCAAUAGCCAAUAGGUGAUGCCUACUAGUAAUUGUUUGCCAAAGAAGUCAGUCAGUCAUUUAGGGCCAUUCUCAUGACCAGAAUAACAUAAUGUAUUCGCUACUUCAAUUACAAUAUAAAUUUGUAUUAUGAUUUGCUUACCUCAUUCGAACUCAGCUGGUAAAAAUUAGUUGCCAAGUACUUUGGACCUGAGAUGAGGGUGGUUGGAGGAUUUGUAGGUCCAUUGUCGUAUGUAACAUGAUUAUCAAGUUGAGUGCUUACUGCACUGACUACCUAUAACGAAGUAUAUUUAGUUUCAACCAUGUAAAAGUUUAAACAAACUUAAUAGAUCAUCUCAUGGCUUAAAGUUGGGAAUAUGGAAAAUUGAUACCAUAGUGUAAAGGGUGGCUGCAUUGAUAUUUGGACCAGGCAUUAGAGCAGUGACAAAUACAGCAACUGAAAUCUUUUCUGGGAAAGUUUCCAUGGCUUUAGAAAUGACGAGUCCACCAAAGGCAUGACCUACAAGAACUAUUUUUUUAUCUGCGGGAAGUGAAGCCAUGAACUCCAUUAGCGGACUCAAGUAAUCAGAAAAAAAUGGGAUUUCAAGGGCCUGUUUGGGGUUGAUCCCUGAAGCACCCAAGUCAAGAGCUGUUACAUUAUGCCCCGAAGAUCUCAUCAAUGCCACAAUCUUGUACCAGGACCAUGCUCCGUGGAAUGCCGUAUGAACUAGCACAAAAUGCUUCUUAUCUUUAGGGGGUGAUGAAAAGGUUGCAUUUGCAUAGGGCAACAGAGACUCGCUUUUCUCCAUAUCUUUUGAAGGAUAUGAGCACAUAAUAUGAACUAUUACAUGGCAACUUUAUAAUAGGAGGAGUUAGGUUUCUGCCAACUUACUUUCUAUUUUUGGAGGAGUUUUGACUCUUGCCAAUUUACUUCUAUGCAGGAGCAACCCUACAUUAGCUAUUAUUUGCACUAGUU
rnacentral:lncRNA from 1 species